rnacentral:lncRNA from 1 species
CCACACAUGACUUCGUAUAUGCUGGCUUAGCUGCUUCAGGAAACACCACAAACAUUAUCAAUGCUGCUGUAACACCUGCAUUUGUUGCUCAAUUCCCAGGUCUAAAUGGCCUUGGUCUUUCUGCAGCAAGGUUAGACAUUGCUUCUGGUGGUGUAAUCCCUCUUCAUACUCACCCUGGUGCUUCUGAGUUAUUGAUAGUAACACAAGGUCGUGUCACUGCUGGGUUUAUAACAUCAGAUAAUUCAGUUUAUGUGAAGACACUUUCAAAGGGAGAACUUUUCAUUUUGCCACAAGGGUUGUUGCAUUUUCAAUUAGGUUAUGGUAAGAGAAAAGCUGUUGCUUAUGCUGUUUUCAGUAGCUCAAGUCCAGGGCUUCAAAUACUUGAUUUUGCAUUGUUUGCAAGCAACUUUUCUUCUUCUUUGAUUACACAGACUACUUUCCUUGACCCUGAACAAGUGAAGAAGCUUAAGAGUGUUCUUGGUGGUAGUGGCUAGACCUUUUUAGUUUGGUUGUUCAUGAAUCAUUGAUUCAUUGUUUUACUUAAAACAUUCCUUGUGUUGUUUCAGUUCAUUGGAAUUUGUGUAGGUUGCCCUAGUCAUUAAGUACCUUGUAUCAAUGUGUUUCAGUUAAUUUUCAUUGUUGCAAAUCUCAAUGUCAAGAUUAUUUCAAUGUAACUAUGUUUUGAAGGGUUUGUGAAUGUUUAUGGGUAAUUUUAUCCAAUAGCCUCCCAUGUUUUAAAUUGUAAUUAAGUUGUGUUUAUUACAAUUGUGGAAAAUUAUAAUUGAUAAGACUAUAAUUAUAAUCAUAACAUCAUUGUGAGACUCUCAAACUAACUAUAAUAUUAUAGUCAUAAUUUAAGUUAUAAAGUACAAUUUAAAAUAAUGACCCUCUAUGUCAACUGUGCAUGUCAAUUUUAAAUUGAUAUGAAGUUUUAUUUUAUUAAUAUUCCUUUGUAAAAGUUGGUAGUUGUCUUUUAUUGUAAUACUUUAGUUAUAAUUGUCCAUACGUCAUAAAGUUCGAUUCAGUUGCUACUAACUCAUCCUAAACAUUAACAUAGUUGUACAAAAUGCUAGCAGAUUAUUAUAUGGUACACAUACCUUGUGUCUUUAUAAGUACAUAAUUAGUUUCAGAGUUAAUUUUCAAAUGUCUUCAUAAAAACAGAUUUAGUUGUAUUAUAUUAUCUAGAAAACAAUUUACACUAUUAAUCAUUUAUAUAUUACCAUAUCAUUAAAAAUAUUUAACUUGUUAUCUUAAUUAAUUAUAUUUUAAGUCACACUUAUAGUAAUUUAUAAUUGGUUUGUAGUGUAAAAACUUUUAUUAAACUUAAAUGGAUAUAACAAUAAUUAUCAAACAAAAGGAGUGCUAGCAAUAAAUCCUCUAACACACUUGUUCUCUACUAGAACAUAAAGAUAUAGACAAUGGUUGAUCAGUUGUUGAGGAGGGAGAAGAGGAUAAUCGUCAAAGUAGCAGGAUGAGGUAGGAGAGCUGGAUUGAAGAAUGUGCUUCAAGUUGCUUUUGUAGCAAUCAUUUAGCAUUUGUCAUCAUUUAUUAAAGCAUCUUUAAGAAUUUUGCUACUUGCAGACUAAAUUGUGUACCCCAACUUUACAUUGAUUAUGCAACAAUGUUAUUACAAGUUUGAUCAUACUAGUAAAAUUGUACAACUUCUUUAUAAAGCAGAAGGGCAAAAAUAAGAAGAAUUUUUUUAUACGAGGCUUAUUUCUUUUCUUAAAAGAAAGUUAUACAAAAUUGACAUAACUAAUUGAAGUUCACUCCAUAAUAUACCCAUUAACAUUCUAAUAAUUGGUUAUUAUUCUUAAUUAUUACAAAUGAUUCAUAUGAUUUUUUUAGUUUUGUUAGUUUUUGGAACACAUCAAGGUCAAAUUAGACCUUAGUGAUAAAAAAUGUUAUUGUGACAUAAUUUUAGAUAUUUAUUCAUCGAUGAGGGAUCAUAUUUAUAAUGAGAUUAAGACUUAUCAUUUCUCAUCUCAUUUUAGAAUAUGACUUAUGAGUCUAAUCCACUUAAUAUUAAGUUUUUGUACUACUAAGGGUAUUCUUUUAUAUUUUUAGGUAAAGAACUAAUCUCUUUUGGGUUUCGUUGCUGGCUCUCAAUAAGUAUAAUUCCCAGGAAUCAAAUAUUAAAUCUUAAGAAUCUAAUGAAGCCUUAAACCACUAGAUCAACGCCUUUUUGAUUACUAAUACCAUUUUAGAUAUGACUUAUGAGUCCAAUGAGUAACUUUGUAUCACACCAUAAUUAAUCCAACAACUUGCAACAAAAGCUCCUCCUAUAUAUAACAUAGCUAUGCAACUAGCUAAUCCCACAUUCCCACCCAACAACACAAAAAAUCAUACAACAAAAAUGCUUCACAUUCUUCUCCUCCUCCUUCCUCUUCUCUUAUCCAUUUCCAAUGCUUCUGUCAAUGAUUUCUGUGUAGCAGACCUUAAUGGUCCAGAUGGUCCUUCAGGCUAUCCCUGCAAGCCUCCUACAAAAGUAACCACACAUGACUUCGUAUAUGCUGGCUUAGCUGCUUCAGGAAACACCACAAACAUUAUCAAUGCUGCUGUAACACCUGCAUUUGUUGCUCAAUUCCCAGGUCUAAAUGGCCUUGGUCUUUCUGCAGCAAGGUUAGACAUUGCUUCUGGUGGUGUAAUCCCUCUUCAUACUCACCCUGGUGCUUCUGAGUUAUUGAUAGUAACACAAGGUCGUGUCACUGCUGGGUUUAUAACAUCAGAUAAUUCAGUUUAUGUGAAGACACUUUCAAAGGGAGAACUUUUCAUUUUGCCACAAGGGUUGUUGCAUUUUCAAUUAGGUUAUGGUAAGAGAAAAGCUGUUGCUUAUGCUGUUUUCAGUAGCUCAAGUCCAGGGCUUCAAAUACUUGAUUUUGCAUUGUUUGCAAGCAACUUUUCUUCUUCUUUGAUUACACAGACUACUUUCCUUGACCCUGAACAAGUGAAGAAGCUUAAGAGUGUUCUUGGUGGUAGUGGCUAGACCUUUUUAGUUUGGUUGUUCAUGAAUCAUUGAUUCAUUGUUUUACUUAAAACAUUCCUUGUGUUGUUUCAGUUCAUUGGAAUUUGUGUAGGUUGCCCUAGUCAUUAAGUACCUUGUAUCAAUGUGUUUCAGUUAAUUUUCAUUGUUGCAAAUCUCAAUGUCAAGAUUAUUUCAAUGUAACUAUGUUUUGAAGGGUUUGUGAAUGUUUAUGGGUAAUUUUAUCCAAUAGCCUCCCAUGUUUUAAAUUGUAAUUAAGUUGUGUUUAUUACAAUUGUGGAAAAUUAUAAUUGAUAAGACUAUAAUUAUAAUCAUAACAUCAUUGUGAGACUCUCAAACUAACUAUAAUAUUAUAGUCAUAAUUUAAGUUAUAAAGUACAAUUUAAAAUAAUGACCCUCUAUGUCAACUGUGCAUGUCAAUUUUAAAUUGAUAUGAAGUUUUAUUUUAUUAAUAUUCCUUUGUAAAAGUUGGUAGUUGUCUUUUAUUGUAAUACUUUAGUUAUAAUUGUCCAUACGUCAUAAAGUUCGAUUCAGUUGCUACUAACUCAUCCUAAACAUUAACAUAGUUGUACAAAAUGCUAGCAGAUUAUUAUAUGGUACACAUACCUUGUGUCUUUAUAAGUACAUAAUUAGUUUCAGAGUUAAUUUUCAAAUGUCUUCAUAAAAACAGAUUUAGUUGUAUUAUAUUAUCUAGAAAACAAUUUACACUAUUAAUCAUUUAUAUAUUACCAUAUCAUUAAAAAUAUUUAACUUGUUAUCUUAAUUAAUUAUAUUUUAAGUCACACUUAUAGUAAUUUAUAAUUGGUUUGUAGUGUAAAAACUUUUAUUAAACUUAAAUGGAUAUAACAAUAAUUAUCAAACAAAAGGAGUGCUAGCAAUAAAUCCUCUAACACACUUGUUCUCUACUAGAACAUAAAGAUAUAGACAAUGGUUGAUCAGUUGUUGAGGAGGGAGAAGAGGAUAAUCGUCAAAGUAGCAGGAUGAGGUAGGAGAGCUGGAUCCGCCGGUGGAGGUACCUGAAAAGGUUUUCCGACGAUCAAGUCAGUGUAUGAACUAAGUGAAAUGGGGAUACGAGAGUAGAGAGGGUAGAUAGCAGUAGAAUGAGUAAUGUUAAAGAGUAAAGAGGUUAAGAUACUUUCUGUUGGUGGAGAUCCCUAUUUAUAGCAGGGAGAGUUGACUUUGGAUUCUUGACAGAUGGUGCGACGCGUGGCCGACCAAAGGUAUUGUCGGGGACUGCUUUCUCUGUGUCAGGCGGUCUGCCAGGACCGUACACUGUGCCAUUCUUGUCUUUUAACCUGUGGUUGGUUUGGCAGCCGUUCUGCAGCCUGUCUGCCGGGUUGGCAGGAGCCUGUCUGCCGGGUUGGCAGGUGGGUUGGUGAGGUACGAAAGGCAUGCUGUCUCUUAGGUCAACUCUGGUGGUCCCAAUACGCUGGGCCCACCUCGGCGACCAAGUAUGUGACUCCUCGGUUCGCCGGGUAGGAACAACACUCUUUUAACAUUUAGUGUCAUAUUAGUCCAUGUGAUUAUUAAUUUUUUAAAGAAUUUAUUAUUUAUGCCUUGAUUGUGCAAUUGGCCACAAAAAAUCAUAUGAGAGCACAUCUUCUAUCAUAAAAAAGUGUAUCACUCUAUAUAUCUCUUACUUGUAAUUGAUUGAAAAAUUAUAUUUAAAUUAAAAUUUUAAUAAUUAAUAUUUUUCACACUAAUCACCACAAGUAAUUACAAAUUGAUAUAUCAAUUAAUGGAAGUUUAUAUCCAACGAGCUCCAGAGAUUUGUUGGUUGAUGUUAACAGUAAAAGAAGUUUCAGAGCCAAAGAGGUAGCACAGGCAUUCAGAGUUUCCAAAUUAACCCCUGCAAACUUUCACCAAAUGCACUAUUUCUCUAUGUAAAGUUCUUGAUUAUAAAACUAUUUGUAUGAUUGGGGGCUUGCUAUUGUUUCAUCUUCUGUGUACUUAAAAAUGUUUAAAAGUUAUUAAGAAGAUAGCACUAAAGACAUUGCACUUUGGAUUAAAAGACCUAGUCAACAAUUCCAUUUGCAAAUCUACAAUGAAGAAUGAAGAUACACAACUGUCGGCUGCCAAUUCUGGACCAAAUUUGAAUUAACCACACAAACCUGAAUUUAGGCUAAAAUAUUAUAUUUAAUAACAUGUUUUUUUAAUUACUAGUAUUUACCAAUAAGACGUUGAUCUAGUGAUAUAAAACUACAUUUGAUCCCCAAAAGAUUUAUGAUUUAAUUCUCGUGAGCGAUAUUUAUAAAGAGAGACAAUCGCACCUCGAAAGAGAUUGAUUCAUUGUUCAUAAGGUAAUAUGAUAUCAUUGGUAGUACAAAAAAAUUACUAGUCUUUAAUACCAUCUCAAACAAAUCAAAUACUUGGGAGAUUAUACACAUUUUUAACCUGGGAUUACUACAAAGUAACAUGUUAGAUUUAUAUGGUCUAGGAACAAAUAUUAUAUACAAACGAAAUUCCAAGGUUCAUUCCAUAGGUGAAUUUAAGAUGCUUGUACACUGCAACUGGUUAAAUUAAAGAUGCAUGUACACUGCAACUGAGAAAAUUGCAAAUCCUAGGUGUAUGAUAUUAAUGAUAGUGAUGAUGAUAAGAGAGAGUCUCUUGUAGAGGGAGACGGGGGCUACAAUUAACCUAUGCCAACCUAAGCCCAUAAACAAGCAACCGUUCAUCAAGAUUCAAAAAUUCUUACUGAAUCUCGAAUCUCCUGACGACAAACGGGACACUUGGGUGCCACUUCACGUUCAACUGAUACAGCACACCGAUGGCAGCAUACAAGAUGCCCACAGGGAAUGAAAGCAGAGCGCCUUCUCCUCAUCAGGCAUACAACACAUAAUUGUCCAUCUGGGACAUCUUCAUUUUCGUCUUCCAACUGAUAAACAAAAUCACCACUCACAUCUUGCCUUUGUUGCUGGAGCUCCCGCUGCUGUUUCCACUGCUUCCACUUAUUCCAGUUCCUGAAUACAGACGACAAAAAUUUAAUUAUCUUGAAAUCAACUCUAACCAUCACCCAAAAUCAUCAAUAAAUCAUUUCAGUGUGUUUUAAUCGAGUAAUAUAAGAGAAUGGGUGUAUUUUUUUGGCAGGGUUUAAUUCCUUCAUUUCAAAAUCCAUUGUUUGGAUAAGUACAUGAAGCAUUCAACAAAUCCUGGAAUUUUUUCAGGUAUUUUUUCCAACUGAAAACAGUGCAUCUUGAAUUCCACCAAAAUAGGUGAAAUUUUAAUUCCGCCCCAAAACGUAUCAAGUCUCAACCUUCCCCUCUUCAUCCCAUUUUCUCCCUUCUAGCUCUGUGCUUAUUCUGUUAUCAUAUCUUCAUGGUUUUGGCUUCUGCUUCUAUACCUUCAGAACUCCAUAACCCUCUUCUCUAUCACGUUCAUAAAGGGAAUCAACAGGUAGAUCAGUUUAGUGUAUUGCAACAUGUUGAUUGAGAAGAAAACAUGCUGGAGUCCAAAUGAUGAUGGCAAUGCUUCCAUGGUGAUUUUGUUGGUAUAGAUUAAAGGAUUGAUGUGUGAAUCUAUUGAUUGUGGUGGAAAGUUAGGCACGCCCGCUUAAUUGGUUAAAUGACAUAAUAAAAUUCUCAAACUUUUUUACAUCAUCCAAACAGAUAUUUGAUACAUUCUAGAAUUUUAAAUUGCUUCAUUUCAAUUUCUGGAAAUUUAAAAUGCUCUCGAAUUUCUAAUUUCUCCAUCCAAUUACACUCAAAUACGAUGAUAAAAAUAACCAAACUUUUAUCUCACUAGGUGGAGUCGACUAUAUGAAUCGAACGGCGACAUAAUAUUCUGUCAUAAAUCAUGUUCAUUCACAAAACAUUGAUCUUUAUUUCUUUCUAUAUCAUUUCGCCUCUGUUUUUCUUAGUCUCCUUCCUCUAGGAACUGGACUAGCUUCGAUUUGAUAUAUUCACUUUACAGGUGCUUCUACUGGUUUUCUCCAUACAUUACAAACUACCUAAGACACGAUUUUACCAUCUUUUCUACAAAAGGAGUUACUAAACUUUCUCCUUAAUGCAUUCAUUUCUAAUCCUAUCUUGUCUAGUGUGUCUACGCAUCCAACACAAUAUUCUCAUCUCUGGUACAUGGAGUCUAUUCUCUAGUUGACAUUUUGUCACCCAAUAUUUAGUCUCAUAUAAUAUUAUAGAUCUUAUAGUCUUGUAGUAAAACUUUCACUUAAGCUUGAGUGAUACAUUUUUAUUACAAAUGACACAUAAAGCACUCUACCAUUUCAUUCAACCCACUCGAAUCUUAUGGUUCACAUCUUUGUCAAUUUCCUUAUUGUCUUGUAUGGUUGACUCAAUAUACUAAAUCUAGUAACUUGUGGUUGAUAUGGUCCUCAAUCUUUACUUCUACAAUAAAGUUUGUUCGCCUCUUGCUAAACUUACACUCCAUAUACUCUAUCUUAUUUCGACUUAUACAAAAUUCAUGUGCUUUUAAAGUUUGUCUCCACAUUUCUAGCAUCUCAUUUAAUUUCUCCCUCGAGUCUCCCACUAAUACAAUAUCAUCUGCAAAAACAUGAAUGUGGCACUGGUUCUUGGAUAUGCUCAGUGACAGCGAGCACAUCCAAGAUCAAUGUAAACAAGAGCUUAAUAGUGACCCUUGGCAUAGUCCUAUGACAAUAAUAAAAUCUUCUGAGACCUUGUUUUGUGUUCUCAAACUGGUAUUGACCACAUCAUACAUAUCAUUGAUUGCUCGAAUAUAGACAAUUUAAAUACCUUUCUUCACCAGAGCUUUCCACAAAAUCUCUUUAAGCACCUUAUCAUAUGUAUUCUCCAAAUCAAUGAAAACCAUAUGUAAGUCCUUUAGUUUCUUCGAUAUCUUUCCAUGAAUUGUUGAAGCAAAUAUAUAGCCUCUAUGGUCAACUUCAUCAGCAUAAAUCAAAUUGGUUGUCAAUUAUAUUCAUCUCUUAUCUCAACUUCCGCUUAAUUAUCUUCUCCCAUGGCUUUAUAGUAUGACUCAUGAGCAUAAUCCUCCUAUACUUUACACAAUUUUGUAUGUCACUCUUGUUCUUAUAAAUAGAGAUUAAGAUAUUUCUCUUCCACUCGUCACAUCUUCUUAGACCUUAUAAUCUCAUUAAACAACCUUGUAAGACAUGUAAUGCUCUGCUCUCCUAGAACUUUCCACACCUCAAUAGGUAAUUACGUAUAUUAUCAGGUCCAACCGUUUUGUCAUUCUUCACCAUUUUCAAAGUUUCUUUCACCCCAACUCCCAUGUUCUACGAUAAAAAUUAUAAUUUUGAUCCUUCACUUUUGUGUGUAGUCUAUUAGAAAGCAAUGAAUUAUGUCCCUCACUGAAAAGCUUGUGAAAAUAUAUCUUCCAUUUUUCUUUCAUAUCUUUAUCUUUCACCAAGGCUUUCCCAUCUUCGUCUUUAAUGCAUUUCACUUGGUCCAACUCUCUUGUCUUUCUUUUUUUACCCUUUGCAAGUCCAUAGACACUUCUUUCCUCUCUCUUGAUACCUAGAGAUUUGAAUAACCCGUCAUACGUUUUUUUCUUUAGCUUCGUUUACCACUUUCGUGUGCUCUUUCUUAGUUACCUUAUUCAGCUACAAUCAAAUCAGUGCUAAAAUUCUGACUAUUAUCAAAAGAAAAGGCAUCAUUAUGUGGCAACUAAUUUCAAAAACCUUUCUUCUACAGUCAUCAUCAUGACAGUCUUUACCAAGAAUCUACUCUACUACUUCAUAUUCUCAACAAAUUCUAUGUCCAGACAUAAUUACUGAAAUCCAAAAUAUCACGUAAACAAUUAGGAAUAAAUGAGCAGGUAGGGCAGACCAACAUACCUCACUACUGCAUACCCAAGGAUCCCAACAGACAUUGAACCAAGAACAAUACCACCCCAAAGCAGUACUGUUGUUUUGAAGGAAAGAUCUACAAUCAUCUGAUCUUUACUCAAGUCAGACCUACAAAAGACAUGACAAUUUCCAUAAGCAACACUUCCACAGGAUAGAAUCAUUUGAUAAUAUUUUUAAGCUAUGCACACUCAAAUAUCCUGCAAGCAAAAUAAAUUGUUGAUUAUGAUGACAUUGUAAAUCUUUAUUGUAAUUGAUACACAUUAUCUUUUUCCCACAGAUAGAUAGGAGCAUCCAUUGUAAUUGUUCUAAAUCCCUGUGAUUCAGCGAUUUAUGUCUCUUACUCAUUGUAUAUAUUUUUCAAGCUAUCUAAUAGAAUUAGUUGUUUCAACUUGGUAUCUGAGAUCUAAGGUUCAGUCUCAGUUUCUGUUUUCCAGCCACUCAGAGCUACAAACCCUAGUAUAGUCAUCGGCUGUGCAAGGUGACAACUAAGUUUAUCUCAGACACCACUGUCCAGUCAUCCCCUCAAGCACCGCCACCAGAAUAUAAACUGCUGGAUAGAUAUGAAGUAUAUGUAUUUCAACCAUGAGGGUAGUGUUGAUUAUGAUUGAUAAUUUGAUAUGGCCUGUGAUUGGUAGCGUAAAUUAUUGUUGUAACUGAUACCCAUUAUUUGUUACAUAGAUAGGAGCAUUCGUUAUAAUUAUUCUAAAUCCCUGUGAUUCAAGGAUCCAUGUCUUCUACUCAUUGUAUAUAUUCAUAUUAGACUGAGAACAUUUCUCAAGCCAUCUAAUACAAUAAGUUGUUUCAAGUAAAGCAUCAUUAAUUCAAUAUUACACAGCAUUAAAACAUCAAAUUGAAAAGGUGCAGCACCACUUUAACAUUUUCUCAUAGUAUUUGUCCUACAACAGACUACAGUAUCAUGUAAUUAAUAAAUAAAAAGCAUUGAACUAAAUCAAAUUGAACAAUCUCCACUACCACUACUACCCAACAUAUGACGAAGGUAAAAGAAGAUACCCAACAUAUUGAUAAGGCCAAUACUAAGCCACUUAUUAAAAACGUGUAUAAAAGGGGAAAGAGGAGAGUUUGGAUAGAAUAACCAACUUUCCCUUCCUACCCUUGGGUAGUUAGAAUCAGUUAACAAGAAUCCAGGGAUCCUUGAGGGGACAAAACCUGUACUCCUACUUCUAUUCUUGCUUAAAUUCAAUAAAAGUACUAGAACCCUAUCAGAAUCGUGUUGAUUCUGAGUUAGGGGCUUUUCCUUUCAAUUUCUGUUCUUAAUCUCUUCUACAUAGAUACCAGUGUCUAUCACUGGUAUCAGAGCACCAUUCUGGUGCCUGUGGGAGGACUUCACGCUGCUGUUGGGAGGAUUUUUGGCGUAUGGUCUCUACAAGAAGUAUGGCUAGAGAAAACGAAGGUGGAGGGACUGAAAAGGAGGAAUUUCGUAUGAGGAUGGAGCUGAGUGAAGCUCGUAUUGCAAAAACAGAGGAAUUGUUGGCUGCUAUAGCCAUCAAAUUAGGAGUUAGCACCAGUGAGAAAGCAGAAGAAGGGGGUAGUGAAAAUGAGGAGGUGGAUAGCCAUAAGUGGGAGCAACAUCAAGAAAGGUGGAGAAAGUUGGAGAUCCCCAUCUUCUCUGGGGAUGAUGCGUAUGGCUGGGUGCAAAAAUUAGAAAGGUAUUUUUCUCUAAGAUCCAUUUCUGAAAAAGAAAGGAUGAAAGCUACGUUAGUUGCUUUGGAAGGAAGGGCUCUGAGUUGGUAUCAAUGGUGGGAAGGUUGUAAUCCAAGACCUUCUUGGGAGGGAUUCAAGUUGGCAGUAGUUAGAAGGUUCCAACCUUCUAUGGCUCAAAACCCCUUUGAGCUACUUCUCUCCUUGAAACAAGAAGGGGGAGUAGAGGCUUAUGUGGAGGAUUUUGAGAAGUAUGCAGGGGCCUUGAGGGGGCUCCACCAAGAUUUUGUGAGGGGAGUUUUCCUAAAUGGUCUCAAGGAAGAACUCAGGGCAGAGGUCAGGCUGUAUGAAUUGAAGACCUUGCCAGAAGUAAUGCAGAAGGCUAUCUUGAUUGAACAGAAGAACUUAGUGAUGAAUAGAAGGCCUUCUUGGAGCCUUCCCAAGACUUCUGGAUCCAUUAGGACCAAUUCUUACAGUAAGGUGGUUACUGUGGAACCAAAUUCUUCAUAUUCCAGUAAGAAGGAGGCUUCUUCUGUUGGAAGUGUGGCUGCACCUUCCAGGGUUUAUCCAGAGGCAACCAAUUCUAAAUCUCUAGGGGAAUUCAAGAGGUUAUCCAAUGCUGAGAUGAAAGAGAAAAGGGAGAAGGGUCUCUGUUUUAGAUGUGAUGAACCAUUUUCGAGGGAGCAUAGGUGUAGGUUCAAGCAAUUCAACAUGUUACUAAUGGCUGAUGAGGAGGAUGCAGAAGGAGAAGGGGAGGUGGAGGCAGAAGGGGGGAUAGAGGUACCUUCUGAUUCUUUACAACUCUCUUUGUACUCUAUGAAGGGCCUCACUACAGCUAAAUCUUGGAAGAUCAAGGGAAAUUUAUGUGGUACCCCAGUAGUGGUCAUGAUUGAUUGUGGAGCAUCCCACAACUUUAUUUCAAGGGAGUUGGUGGAUCAGUUGCAAUUGGAGAAGGAAGAUACUAAAGCCUACCUUGUGGAGGUGGGUGAUGGGCAUCAAAUAUCUUGCAGAGGAAGGUGUCCUCAAUUAUUGUUAAACCUACCACAAAUUGAGGUAACUCAGGAUUUCUACCUUUUUGCUUUAAAGGGAGUAGAUGUAGUUUUGGGUCUGGAAUGGUUGGCUAGUUUGGGAGAGGUAAGGGCAGAUUUUGGUAGGAUGAGUUUGACCUUGAAGAAGGGUGACUCAGUUGUUAGCAUUGUGGGAGACCCUGCCCUAACCAAAACAGAGUUAUCUUUAGGUGCAUUCAUGCAAGUUCUACUCAAGGAAGGAGAAGGGAUUUUGCUGCAGUAUGGUGAUUCUAAAAGAGGGGUUGAUAAAGGAGAGGUUCCUGUGGAAUUAACAGAGGUGUUGCACAAGUAUGAUGAGGUUUUUCAAGAAUUGCAGGGACUUCCCCCUUCUAGGCAGUGUGAUCAUGCUAUACACUUGAAGGAGGGAGCUGAUAUACCUAACCUCAGGCCCUAUAGGUGCCCUUACUACCAGAAAUCUGAGAUUGAAAGAUUGGUGGCUGAGAUGUUGGAGGCUGGGGUCAUCAGGCCUAGCAUAAGCCCUUAUGCCAGCCCAAUUAUCUUGGUGAAAAAGAAGGAUGGUGGGUGGAGAUUUUGUGUGGAUUACAGGGCCCUAAACAGAAUUACUAUCCCCAAUAAAUUCCCUAUACCCCUCAUUGAAGAAUUAUUAGAUGAAUUAGGGGAGGCUAGGGUGUUUUCUAAGCUGGAUUUGAAAUCUGGCUAUCACCAGAUCAGGAUGAAAACAGAGGAUAUCAAUAAGACUGCUUUUAGAACCCAUGAGGGUCAUUAUGAAUUCAUGGUCAUGCCAUUUGGGUUGACUAAUGCACCCUCAACUUUUCAAUCCCUUAUGAAUGAUGUCUUGAAGCCAUAUCUCAGGAAGUUCACUCUGGUUUUUUUUNNNNNNNNNNNNNNNNNNNNNNNNNNNNNNNNNNNNNNNNNNNNNNNNNNNNNNNNNNNNNNNNNNNNNNNNNNNNNNNNNNNNNNNNNNNNNNNNNNNNAUUUCCUAGUUUCCAACUUGAGGACAAGUUAGAAUGUUUAGGGGGGAGUAUUGAUAAGGCCAAUACUAAGCCACUUAUUAAAAACGUGUAUAAAAGGGGAAAGAGGAGAGUUUGGAUAGAAUAACCAACUUUCCCUUCCUACCCUUGGGUAGUUAGAAUCAGUUAGGUAACUAACUGCUAUAAAUAGCAGAGUUAGUUAGGGAGAAGUUAGCUUUUGUUUGAGAAUUCAACUGAUUUAGGAAUCAGUGAAGAACACAAGGAUCCAGGGAUCCUUGAGGGGACAAAUCUUGUAAUCCUACUUCUAUUCUUGCUUAAAUUCAAUAAAAGUACUAGAACCCUAUCAGAAUCGUGUAGAUUCUGAGUUAGGGGCCUUUCCUUUCAAUUUCUGUUCUUAAUCUCUUCUACAUAGAUACCAGUGUCUAUCACAUAUGAUGAAGGUAAAAGAAGAUAGAUUUUGCCAUGAUCAACAAAAUAAUAGUUUAUUUAAGGAAAAGAAACUUAACAGAAAAUAUGGUAGAUCUUUGCUUGGCUUAAUUUCAGCAAUUCCAUUUCUUAAACUGCAAAGGCCAACAGCACUGAUAUCCUUCCCCAAAGGAAGAAUUUUCUCUUCAUCUAGUAGUCCAACCUUCAGAAAAGAAACAUCAUAUGUCAAAAAUUCAGCAAUCAAUAACUGUGAUAUACUAAUGGUAAACAAUCUUGCUAGAGAGUAGAGGUGAAACUCCCAAAUGGAUAAUUGAAGAGUGAAAUAACACAAGUAUUGAGAUUGAUCAUAAGUCAAUGCUAUCAAUUACAGAAAGGCAUUGAGAAUCUUAACUCACCGGAUAUUCAUGGCCAAAAAGUGCUUGCAAGAAAGUAUAAGGAGAAGCAUUUAUAGGUUGCAACUUAUGAUAAACUGUAGUCAGAGGUAAAGGAUGUCUUGAUCCAUCCAAGUUGACAACAACAUAUCCACUAUUUGGCCGUCGCCCGACAUCAAUGAGAACAAAAGGCACCUAGAACAUAAAUAUGACAUAAGUACCAGAACUCUCAAACAAAUAAAGAUAACAAAAGAGAUAAAAAACAAAGAGACACUCCAUCAAGGUUGUCAAGAUCAAGAUCUUAUGGGAAACAUGUCACAAAUAUAGCUCGAAGAUAAGAAGUCCAUCCAUAAUAUAAAUAUGCAAAUAACCAUAAAAUCACAGACAAAUAUUCAACUAAAAUAAUUAAACAUAUUCAAAACGUUUGGCAUUUUCCACUAAAAUGGGUUAUUCUAAGCUAAAACAUAUCUAAGGUGCAUAAUUUUGAUGCAAGAGAGUGAGUUAUAUAGUAUGAAAACAACUAAUUAAUUAUGGAUAUUAAAAAAUCUACUAGGACAUCUGAGCUACGGAAGUCCCCAUGUGUACUGCACAGGAUAGGAUAGUAACUUCACCAUUGUUAUCAAUGUCAAAAUAUGGCGACUCUAUUCCAAGGUUCUGAAAACUGAAUCAGCUAUUGAAGCAAUCAUGGGACUUAUUAAAUAUUAUGUAUUCACUAUAUAUAUAUGUCACAUGACUACUUAAAAAGUCACAAUGUCAUGUGUAUCAUUUAAUCUUGAUGAUACAAAUUAGAAUUUAUUUACUUGUUGCACAAUAGCAAGGCUUCGCCUAAAAUGAUCCCUAUAAUAUCGAUGAAAAUUACUAAUUACAAAAUAGGGUCCAAAUGCUUUAUUCAAGCUUAAUAAAUAGCUUCAUAACAAGAAUGACAUUCAACGAUAUUGGCUAAUAGAGCAUUCCUUAAAAGUCUCACAUCAGAAGAUUUACUGCAGCAUCAAAACUUUCACCAAAUGUAAAACCCCAAGAAAUAGUAAUCCUUUAGGCACCUAUUCUCCGACCCAAGUUGAGUAUCAUUUAGAUUACUGCCUAUGCUAAGCCAGCAGAAUAGCUGGACUAAUGGGCCCUUAUGAUGCACAAAUACUCCAAAAUUGGUGAUGAGUCUGUAUAUGAUACCGAUACUCGUACAAUGCAAUUGCAUCGCAUUCUUGGCGUAUCCAUACUCAUUUUUGUGAAUACCCUCGAAGUACCACUACUUCAAAAAUACAUGGUACUAGGGUGGUGCAGAAAACAAGUGAAGAAGAAAAUUGAGCAAGGAAGAACAUGUGGGACUUGAGUUGGGAUAGGAUAAACACAUGCGGAUAAAUUAUACUAGAAAUUUUUUGAUGCACUGUGAACCUGAAUACAUAACAAAAGUUGUGUGUUACCUUCCUUAAAGAUGUGGACUCUUGUUUUCUCCAGGAUCUUGUAAAUAUAGCUCGAAGAUCAGAAGUCCAUCCAAAUAAGCCCUUCCAUUCAUUGUAUAUACACUUCAUUACAUUUAAAAAUUUAAAAAGAAAAUACAGUUAGUUUUCUAAUUCGCCACUAAACUGCAUGGGAUAUAAAUUGGAAUAAAAUUUAUACUGUUUUGAACAAUGAAAAAAGUUACCACUCCAAGACAUGAAAAAACAAUUUAAUCAAAUCUCAAAUAAGUAGCCACAUAUCGUUGUAAGGAUAUUAAUGAUUCAAACUGUUAAAACUGAUUACCUAUCCUUUUCUUACAAACCAAUAUAGUUACUCAAGAAUAAGAGCACACAUUGCUAAUAACACCUUAUGGCCAAAACAUUAUAAUAAAUCUAUUCAUAAGACAAAAGGUGAGUCUACAGAGACCUUGGAAAGAAGCAACCUGGGAAAAAGUGCAGCUAUAAAACAAAGGGUAAAUUACAAUGACCAACUUUGAGGUUUAACUUAAUUAUACCUAAUACCCAUCUUGUUUCAAGAGUCAUACACUCACUCAUUUCCCCUCAAGCGUGGCCAAUGUAAUUUCAAUCACCACCUCUAAGGUGAGGUAAGUUUAAGGAUAACAGAUAACAUAAAUCUCAAGGUCUGUAUAAUUUCUAAAACAAGAGUAGUACCCACUACCAUGUGUAAUUGAGCUAAACUAGUGUUUUAAAUUGCAUUCUUCAAUUGCAAUGGUGGCCACAGUAUUGCGGUUCAGGAGUCUCCACACAGGUACUGUGGCUGCAAUUUUCCACAAUUACAUUAAACACAACAUAACCGCCGCACCCGCAAUUUAAAACACUAACCUAAAUAUAUCACAAAAUCAAUCAAUGAAGGAGCGGUUGAGCUAUUUGCAGAUUAAGGGCAUUGGUUAGGAGGAGCUAGGCAGCUUUUAGCACGCGAAUAGAACGGAGUGAAAUAUAAAGGAAAAGAAUAUUAACAGAAUGAUUCUAUUUUAUACCAAAAUAUUCAACUCUGUUCUGAUUAUUAUAAAAUGCAUCAACUAUGGAAUAAAACUCACGUGUUACCAAACAAUACCUAGGUUAAAACUUAGAAGUGAUUUUCACUCCAAAAUUUGAACAAUUGCGAGCAAACAAAAUUAAACACCGAACCAAAGUUACCGUUUGAGUUCUUUGAAUAACAACGGCUUUAUCACCAGACUCGCGAGAAACCAAGACGCCGGGCAUCAAGGCUUUCCAGCUACCGUCAACGGCGGACUUGGCAUCAACGGUACCACGUACAAUUACUAUUUUACCAUCGCCGGAAUUUCCGUCCUCGUCGGAGCUCUCGGUGAGGAUAGAACGGAGGUCAGAGACAGAGAGGGAAGGUGCGGUGCGAAGCUUUCGGAGUGCGGCGGAGGUGGCGGUGAAAUUGAGAAGGGAACGGACGGCGGCGUAGGCAAAAGCAAAGCCCAAAAUGGCGCCAUCGAAGGAAAGGGCAAUCUGAGAGAGAAGGGAUACUAGGGCUUGAUCCUGAGAGGACAUUGACACUGUUUGAUCAUCAGAGAAUAACGAAGGGGCAUUGACGUCGUCGUUUAGAGAAUAACAUGUAGCAAUGGUCGGGUCCAAAUUAGGGUCUGUUAUUCCAUCAAAUCUAAAGGCCCAUAGAUUGACACGUGUCUUGGUUCCUUAAACUUUUUGUAUGUACCCGUUUAGUGUUUGGAAAAUUGGAAGAAAAAAAUGUACAUAUGAGAGAAUUUUUUAUUUUCUCAAAUACAACUAAUAAAUUUUUUAUAUUAUUAGUAUAUAAAUAUUACACUCUAAUUAGAAAACCUAAAUUAGUAUGUGAUUUUUUGUCUGGAGCCUUUUUUUUUUAAUUUCAAAGAAGUCCAAGGACUAAUGCGAUUAAAAAAUAUUCGCAAGACUAAAGUAUAAUUACUUAAAACCACCCCUUAACCCUAAACUAACAGGUUAUAUAAAGCCCCACUUAGCACACCUAAGAGGCAACUUAUCCUAAAACACAUAAGCAAUAGUUUUUUUUUUUAAAAGGGGUAGAGAUUAGCAUAGAAAGAAAAAGCAAUAAAGAGAUAGGAGAUUUUUUUUUAAAGAUAACAAAAUGAACCUUCUAUAUUGAGAACCAUCAUCUAGAGGCAAUUUCAUUAGGUUCACUUCUUACCUUAUUCUUUAUUCUCUAUUUUCUUUUGUUAGUUCAUUGCCAUAUUUUCAUUUUUUCAUGAUGUAACAUUAUUUGCAGUAAAAUGCCCUUUUGUUUUAUUAUUCAUUAACUCAAAGCCUGAAUCCUAACAUGGGCCAAAAAGAAGUGAGGUUUUAACUCCAUAGGCAGUGUCGCCUUCACGUCAUCGUGUGGCUCGAUCACACCAUGCUUGGUCGUCGGCUCACAACCAGACCGUUAAGCAAACCCCAUUUGGUCUCAGCGGCAUGUCACAGUGUUUCCGACAUGAUGCCUUGGCCCUCAAGGUCAGUCCCGACGGCAACACACGAACUCUGUUUGGGCUAUCUCGGCCAGCUCCGCCUCACCGCGGUGAUACCUUACUCCCAGCGGGAUGUCUUUUCCCCUUCUCUAGCACCGACUUUGCCAUAAAAAAGGAACCUGGACCUUCAGUCCAGGUGGGGAAGACGACCCCCAUCCUUUAUAUUUUUUACAUUUCUAUUCUCUUUUUUUCAUUUUAUUUAUUUAUUUUAAUUCUUAUUGUUUUAUUUAUUUAUUCAGCAUAUAUUAUUUGUUUAUUUUUUGUCAUGUACUAAUUAUCUUGUUUCAUACUAUGAGUAAUCUUAUUUUCAUUUGGGUCUAGUUAUAAUGUUCAUAUUUGAUAUAUGUGUAUAACCAUUUUAGGUUGUUGUUUGGUAUUAGGAUUAGGCUUAUCUCCUGCUUGAUUUACUUUUUUUUAUCCAUUCCUUUAUACUUUUUAUUAUUUUUAUAUUUUAUAGUCACUUGAAAAUUCAUUAAACUAUCAUAAUAAAAUAACAAAAAUACGUAUAUUCUUUUACCAAUGAUUCUAUUUUUUACUCGAGCGUAAAAAUAGUGUUUAAGGUAAGAAUUUGGGAGAUCGGUGAAUGAAUUGAACCAUAUCUUCAUUUCCAUUCGAAUAAAAAAGCGGUGAGCGGUUGUCAUAUUAUUUUUUCUUUCUAUGAUAAUGAGAUUGACGAUAGAUGAUAGAUGGUAUGUGUCAUCCUUAUCUUCUAAAAUUCUUACCCUAAUUUUUAAUAACAAAUUCCAUUUGACAAUUUCAAAAAUAAAAUAAUCAAUUAGGUCAUUAAUGUCACUUUUGUAAAUAUCAAAGCUGUCAGUAAUUAAUAUGUGUCAUAUUUAUUUAAAUCAUCAAUAAAUAAGAUCUAUUUUCUGAAAUUAUAUUUAAUGUGUGAAUCAAGGGUCACAAUCAUUAUUAUUUUAUGGUAUAAAUCUUUAAAAUAGUAGAUUUUUUUCAAAAAAUUAAUUCAAACAAAAAAUAAAUUUUUUAGUUCUAAGAUUAGAGAAGAGUAUCAACUUGGGUAUUAUUUUAUUAUCCUAUUAGUAGGAAAACAGUGAGCGGUUAUCGUACUGCCUCUUGUUUCUCUCUAAUAUUGAUAAGACAAUAUAUACCAAGAUCUUGUCUCAUUACUCUAUUUAAUUAAAAGCGGUGAGUCGUUGUUGUAUUGUCUCUUCUUCUUUUUUAAAUGCGUAAAGUGAUGUAGGUCAAAGUUGUAUCCCCUUCUUAACCCUAUCAGUUGAUAACUUGAGUCCUAUUUUUAUUAUCAUAUUUGUAAUAAAUCAGUAAGCGACUAUUGUACUGCCUCUUCUUUCUCGCUAAUAUGGAUAAGACGAUAUAAAUCAAGCCAUUAUCUUAUUAUCCUAUUUAAUUAAAAGCGGUGAGUGGUUGUCGUACUACCUCUUCUUUUUUAAAUGUGGGAAUAAUGAUGUAGGGUAAAGUCGUAUUUCCCUCUUUAACCAUACUUACUCACAACCAUCUUACAAAUUUCUCAAAUCACUUUUCAUAACUAAAAUUAAUCCAACACGCCAAAUAUUUUUCUACAAAAAACUAUGUAGUCUUGAUUUCCCUAUUGCACAUAGGGAUACGUUGGAACAAGAUGAACUAUUGGCAGACACAAAAAUAAAAAAAUAUCUUUUCUUUCAAUAAAAAUUACUUGAUUAAAUAAGCUUUUGGGUAUACUUAGUUCUAUGCGAUUUAUGCGGGUACCGUCUGAUAACGGGCGAACGUGGUGCUAAUACCUACCCUGAUCCGUAACCGAUUCCCGAGUGUAGAGUUCUUGUUCAAAGGCUAAUCUAUCCAAUAUUUGGGCACAAAAGGGAUUUCUACGUUUUUACCGUAAAAAUGUGGUGGCGACUCCCAACUAGUUGUGUGACCGGUAUUCGGCCAAAAAUCGGGGCGCGACAGCUGGCGACUUUAUUGGGACAUCCUAAGAGAGUCAAGCCUAAAGCAACGCAUAAAUUCACAUGUACCCCUUAAAGCUUGUUGUUUUACUUUUUUUAUUUUAUAUAAGUUAUUGUGUUUAUGUAUAUGUUUUUGAGGUUGUUUUGUAGCAUUGGGGGUUUUAUCUUUAAAAAAAGUUUGUAUGCUUCUCACACGCAACAUAUAAAUACAUAGUGCCUUCACACACACAUAUGUUCUAUACUCGGGUAUUAGAGAUAUCUCUUUUAUGAUUAGAAGGGACAUCUGCCUUACAUGAGCCUAAUCUUGUAUUGGCGUGAUGGACCGAUCAGAUUAUUACCGGUAUCAUAGGUUAGAUGCUCGAUGGGGCUCGAUUCCUCACGUUUUUAACUUAUGAUAUUUGGGUUUCUUUUCCUUCACGGGAGGAUGCAAUUUGGUGACUUUUUAGGAGUCCAGAACUUGUUAAGGAUUCCACUUUAAACAUACCCUACCGUCCCAUCCUAGGAAUGUGUCCUAUAGUUGUAUCCAUCAUAAGACUUGUCCAUGUGAAGCACAAGAAACAUGCUUCUACCCUCACAUUUUUUCUUCCAUUAUUUGGCUCUUCAUCAUGAGUUGGAACUUACCAACACCAUCACUUAUGCCUAAGUGAUAUCAUAGUGUUUUAACGUCUUUCUAUCAUGACGACGACAUAUUCAUAAAUAGACUCAUAAUGGGACCUCUUAUCCCAAGAGUGAUGUUAUAAAGCAAGGGGCAAGAAAACCAUUGUCCCUAGUCAACCUGAACGAUAUGAAAUAAGUCAAUCUAUCAUGGUAACUCUUAUUUUGUAAUGAGGUUGUGUUUCCUGUGGACACGCCGUUGACCUUAGGGCCUGCACUUUGCACUUAUGAUUUGGCACAUUCUUAAACUUUUGCACUAUCAUGCAUUCAUUUAUGGCAUUUUACUAACUCUUGUCUCAUAGUUUUUUCCAGGUUUGUUCGAGAGAUCGUCUUCAUAUAACAAAGUGACAAGAUGACCUUACCAAUUCAAGUCUCUACUAGUGUUUUGUACGCAAGAAAAUGUUCAAAAGUAGAAGUGCAUAGUAAUGAUGUCAGUUUCUUGAUUGCAUGCAUAGAAUACUAGAUGAGAUACAAGAGCUGUUUAUGAGAGAGUAUGGAAGGUUGAUAGAUCUUAUCCUCAUACUUGUGGACAAUGUGACCCUAAAAGCUAUGGCCACCAUGGCACAGUAUUGGAAUACUGGACUAAGGUUCUUCGAAUUCCCAAAUGUUGAUGUCACGCCUACUAUCGAAGAGUAUGAAAUCUUGCUAGAAAUACCAAUGUCGGAUAAACUGAGGGUAUAUAUGUUCACUAAACCUAUGGAAGUUAACGAAGAUACUAUUGAAAAAUUUCUAAAGGUGCAACCUGAACCAUCCAGUAUUAUAAAACAAGCCAUAACUCUAGGUCUCAAAUGGGUAUUUCUGAAAAAGCAUAUUUUCAAAAUGGAAGAGCAACAAAAUUGGGAAAUGUUCAAACCAGCAUCUGCUCUCGCCAUUUAUGGGAUGGUCAUGUUUCCCUUCUUUAAUGACAUGAUAGACCAAUCAGCGUUCAAUGUUUUCUACAAGUUCAUUCGCUUUGAAGUCAACCCAACAUCUGCCGUACUUGCUGAGUCUUUUCUAUCAUUUUAGAAAGGUUAUUUGAUAGGUGGUAAUGAAAUCAGGUGUUAUGUUCAGCAGCUCUACAUAUUGAUGAUGACACGUUUCAAGCAUCAUUCCUACGGUCUAGGAAGUCGUUAUGCGCUUAGGAGGUUUAAGAAGGUUUCCACAAAAGAAAUACAACUUAGUAAAUGAGCGAAGCCCCCCCCUCGAAAUUUUGGAACCAAGUGUUGCUUGUAUGAUCACCAUGAGAAAAUCAUGUAUUCUUGUAGAGGUUAUCCUAAUAUGAUACUCAUGGGACCAAGAGGAUGUAUUGCUUUAAGUUAGCCCUAAUACUUGGGCAACUGAAGUGGGGAAUAAAUCGAAUAAGAGAUGACCAGUUGUAGGGGUUCCUCUUUUGGUAAAAGGAUGAAGUAGCUCCUGAAGGGGCUGUAGAAUCAACAAGGAAGGCUUUACAACAAAUCCGCUUAUUUGGAGAAAACAAGUUGGGGGAGCGUAAGACUUUUUACACCGAAGAACACAAAACCUAGAGGAACGAGAGAAUCAGAAAGAGUUGUAUGCUAGAGCCCACCUUGCCUAAAGACAAUGGAGGCCCCUCACUAGAUGAAAUCAUGUGGCGUGAAAAAUGUAAACUCUUGGAAGCUCGUUUAGAGGAGGCAAGAGAUCAAAAUAAGAAAUAUGAGUUUACCAUUGAGAAGCUCCAGAAGUCCAGCAAAAAUUUACAUGAGGAGGUAGCCAAAUCUAAGAAAUAUGCUAGAAUGUGCUCCAAAUCUAAGAAGUUCAAGUUGAUAAGAGAAAACAAUGAUCUAAAGCAAUGGCUGAAAGCCAAAAGUUGUGUUGCUAUGAAUAAUGUGCAAGAAAUGAAGAAAAUGAGAGAAACUUCGAGAUAAUCAUGGUUGAUCUUGAACAGAGUUAGAAAGAGGCUUCUUAAGCAAUGAGCACAACAAGGGAUUACCAAGCGGCCCCAUAACAAGCUCAUAGAAGAGGAGUAGAGAUGGUGGCAAACCAUCAGUUAGACAUGGAAAGGACCAACCAUAGAAAAAAUCGACUUACUGCUGAUUUGAAAGAUCUUACGGAGGCAUACGACAAAAUCUUGAAGAAAUAGAAAGAAUGGACCGCAGGUUGGGAUGAAACUCUUAUGGAAUGUGAAAGGGCCAAAGAGCAAUGGCAAAGAAGAUGCAACGACGUGAUUAACGGGCUCGAGGAUUUUGUAGAUGAUUGGUUACAAAUUGUUGGUGAGGCUAGAUGUGAACUCAAUGCAAACCUUAACAUUAAUUGAAGACCAACACUAGAAGCAUUCCUCUCUAAUUAUUCCAAAGUAGCCCGACAGUAAGAAGAUGGAGGAAGGAAAGCAACAGAGAAAUUCAUUUCUAACAUUUAUUUGUACUUGUAAGAUUUCGAAUUAGAAGCAAGAGGAAUAAAAAUGUCUAAUGUAAACUACCUUUACUUUGUAUGGUCUUUCAAAAAAAUGAAUGAAAUAUCAGAAUCUUUUCAUCUUCACUCAAGGGCAUCACUUAUGUACAUAAAAAAAGAGCUAAAUGGCACAAACUACUUAUACACCACUACAGACUAGUCUUAAGAUGCAAUCUUGGUCCGAAAUCUAGUGUUUCCUCUAAAGAUUGUCAUCAAUCACACGCAACCUAGGAAUAGUGCUUCCUAGUCAUCAAAUGCGGGAUGAAGUGUUUUUUUUUAUAUUGAAGGGUUUCUCCACAAGCCAGGUAAACCAUUGCCUCAAAGCACCACUAUAACACUCGGUUUCUAGCAAAGAAAGUGGCAGAGUCUAUAACCAGUAAGGACAACAUGUCCGAGUUAGUAGAACUUAAGGCGUAAAUGAGUGAAAUAUUCAACAUGCUCAAGGCAUUGCAAAGUGAGAAGAGGGAAAACACUUAAACUAUCAAUGUGGGACCAUAGAGCAAUCUCGCUCAAUUUCCUAAGGGGCAACUCUGGUCAAGGAGCUGGUACAAGCAUCUAAGGGAAUAAGCAAUGAAGUGGCCCUUCUAUGGGAUGCCCUUUAAUUAUGUUCCACUUUAUGAGGACGAGCUUAAUAAACCUUACGGUCAAUCUAAUGCUCAUCUGGAGCAGCCAACACCUAAGGUGAACAUGAACAGGAUGAUGAAGACGCCACCUACGAACCCUCUCAAAAGGUUGCGGUUAAUAGGUCUGCACCACACCUUCAAAAUUCUAUAACAUACCAUAGGACAACUCUAGGGCCCUAAUUUGGUGACAUUGCUAGAGCAGAAAAGUUAAGCCUAAUUGAGGAGAGGCAUAGAGAAAUAAAGGGAGCGAGUUUUCCAGACUUUAAGAAUGCAUUUGAGAUGUGCCUUGUGCCGGAUGUGGUGCUACCUCCAAAGUUCAAGGUGCCUGAAUUCAAAAAGUACAAUGGGACGACCUGCCCAAAGAUCCACAUGCACAUGUAUGUUCGCAAAAUGUCGGCUUGAGAGGACUAACAUUCGAACAUUUCUAGACCUGUCUAACACAUUUUUUUGACAAUAGAAAUACAAUAAAGAUGUUGCACCUAAUAGGACACAAUUAUAGAACAUGUCCAAGAAGCCUCAAGAGACCUUCAAAGAGUACACACAACGUUGGAGGGGAUUGACCUCUCAAGUGCUUCCAAAGCUAGAAGAAGAACAACAACUCUAUUUUUGUUGACACUCUGCAAAAUCUAUAGCCUUUGUCCUCAAUGCUCUAAUAAGAGUGGGAGAGAAGGUCGAAAUAAGGAUCAAGAACGGGAAGAUUACAGAUGACCAAGCAAAUACCAAGAAACCAGGGUUCAUGAAGAAGAAAGAAGGCGAGACAUAUUUUGUAUAUAACGACUCCAAGAAGCAAUCAGACAAUAAUUAUCAAUACCAAACCUACACAAACAACUAAAGGUAAGAGAAUGGUGUUUGAUCUUAUCCCCAUGCCAGAUGCAGACAUAUUCACAUGGGGCAAAGAAUUAUAGCCCUAAUUUCGGGAAGAAUUCCCAAAAAUCCAGGGCCACGGUUCAACCCCAAUAUCUCAUACGCAUACCACUCUAGAACUGUGGGGCAUUCCAUAGAGAAUUGCAUAGCCUUGAAAUUCAAGGUACAACACCUCAUCGACUCGAAAUGGCUCAACUUUAGACAAUCGGCGCCAAAGUCAAUAAUAAUCCUCUGCCAAAUCAUGGGAACCAUGAAGUAAAUGUUGAUGAAGAGGCUCAAGAGGAAUCUUUCCUGAAGGAUGUGUCUGAAAUACACACCCCGAUGAAAGUUGUCUUCACGGAAAUGUGCAACCAAGAUAUGAUUGAGGUGUUAAAAGAAACUGCAGAAGGUUGUGAGAUGCAUGGUUUAGUGGGCCAUGAAAUUGAAGAUUGUGCAGAAUUCAAAAUUUUGCUACAGAAAAUGAUGGAUACCAAAUUGGUGGUUGUGGGGAGAAGAUCUACAUGCCCAGAAGUCAAUAUAGUAGGAGACAAUGAAGAUAUAACACCAUUUGUCCCAACAUUGGUUCAAUUCGAGCUAGUGUUGAUAUUCCAAGGGGUAUUGUAAGACUGAGAUGACAACAAAGAGAAGAGGGGGUGAAUUAGUUGUCUUAAAUCUUUGUCAGAUUUUUAUGCAAUUAUCGGAGUUAGUAACAGCGUAUAAGUUAUGCAAAAAAUUAUCAACAAAUUUAAAGAGAUAAGGGAGAAGAGAGUACUAAGAGAUUUUUAUACUGAUUCACCUUCUUGUCCACCAAAGGUUACGUCUAGUACUCUUGCAGCACAAGAGAUUUCUUCAGUAGAUAUUAAGAGUAGCAAUUACAAAUUCUCACCCCGAGAUUUCCUUGUACCUUACUCACUCUCUAAUACAUAUAUCACUCUAUGGAAAAUAACCUUUCCAAGUGACUCUAUCCCCUUUCUUAUCACACCCUUGUGAAAGAAAGUAUUUAACAAAUUGAAUGAAGAAAACUUUAACUAUGGCAAGGAUUGCCUUUACAAGAUUUGAAACUAUGAACUCUUCCAAUCCAAUAACUCUUUAUAUACACUUAAUAAUAAUGCUCAUAAAGUUUAAAUAACUUUGAAACAAAAGUUAGGGCAACUUCAGAAAAUAUAUUCUGAAAGUUAAGAACAAGUUGCAAAAAGUGCAGAGCAAGUAUUUCAGAAAAGUUUAGAUCGUGUAUAUGAGUUGUGUGUUUAUGAAUUAUAAGUUUCAGUGUCUUUAAAUAGGCUUUCCAAUCAGCCAUAACACCUCUAUGAAAAGGUAGGAUUCAAGCGGAAAGAAACCAUUUCGUUUGGGGUGAAAGUUGUGCAGUUUGAAUAUGAAAACUGGUGCAACAGCUCUCAGUAAUCGAUUACGAUAUUGACAUAAUUGAUUACCCAAACAUUUUGUCCAACCGAGUAAUUGAUUAUCACAUAGUGUAAUCGAUUACCCAAAGGAUGUAAUCAAUUACCCAAACAUUUUGUCCAUUUAAAUAACUGAUUAUCACACUGUGUAAUCGGUUACUCACGAGAUGUAAUUGAUUACCCAAGUAUUCUGUUCAACUGAAUACUUGUAAUCAGUUACUCAAAUACGUGUAAUCAAUUAUCAUGUUCAGUUUUUGUUGGGUAACUCAUUUCUAACUCAUGUAACCUAUUACUUAGUUCUGGUAACCCGUUACUUAGUCACAGUAACACGUUACUUAGUCACAGUAACACGUUACUUAGAUCCAUUAACCUGUCACACAGUAUUUUGAAAAUUGUUUUCAUUUAUACUUAUAGUUUUCAAUUUUCUCUUAAAAUACUUUUGAGCAUUGCUACUAUUUGUAUAUAAUAGAGUAUAAGGAUAGAAGUACCUAUAGACUUAGAUUCUAAUUUCUUGAAGCUUUAUCUUCAUUAUCUUCAUAAGUAUUAUUCCUUUUCUUCUUUAUAUGAUGUUGGUGUCUUCAUCAAAACUGUGCCAAGGUCAGGAGCAAGAUCUUCUUCACAGGUAUAUCACUAGAUUUGCCUCAACCAUAGUGGUUCUCAUACCUCACAAAAAUGGAGGUUAUAGUAACAGACAUACCUCACCCAUUUCCCUAUGAAUCAGACAGAGUAGUACCUUCGAGGUAUGGUGGGCAAGUCAUCACACCAUCGGAACGUGCAUUAGAGGUAACCAACAUUGCUGCAGUCAAUAGAAUUACCCGGAGCGAUAGAGUCUAUGGACCUCCAGAGACAGGGAAAAACAUAGUCACCAUCUAUAAAGGGAAAAAGGAGAUUGAUGCUCCAACAAUCCCUAAAAUUGGCAAGGAGGGAUCGCCCAUGGAUGAGUUGAAAUAUGGCCAAGAGAUUUCUAAUGAGCAAGCUAGUGAGUUCCUCAAGUUUAUAAAGAAAAGCGAAUAUAAGGUGGUUAAUCAGCUAAGGCACACACUUGCUAGAAUAUCCAUACUUUUGUUGCUAAUGGAUUCGAAGCCUCACAUGAAUGUGCUACUUAAAAAAUUUAAACCAGGCCCAUGUUAGUCAAGACAUAACUAUAGAUAAUUUCGGUGGUAUUAUGAAUAACAUUGUUGCUGAUAAUUUUCUAUCCUUUAGCGGUCAGGAAAUGCCAUGUGAAGGGAAUGGCCACAUCAACCCUCUCUACAUCUCUGUCAUGUUCCAAGACUGUGUGAUUGGAAAAGUCCUCAUAGAUAAUGGUUCAUCUUUGAAUAUGAUGACUAAGAGAAUGUUAUUUAGGCUCUGUGUCAACUACUCAUAAAUGAGGCUAAGUUCUAUGAUCAUUAAGGCAUUUGAUGGGUCCAAGAGAGAGGUCAUGGGAGAAAUUGAAUUACCCGUAAAAAGUGUGAUGGACAUAAACCCAACAUAUAGUUGUUUGUUAGGUAGACUAUGGAUUCAUGUUGCAGGAGUAGUUCCCUCAACCUUGCAUCAACGAAUCAAAUUCAUCAUUAAUGGCAAGUUAUUGAUAAUAAUAGGUCAGGAUGAUAUGCUAGUAUCUUGGCCCUUUGAUACCCCAUAUAUUGAAGCCGCCAAAGAAACACUCGAAACCUCAUUUCAGGCUUUGGAAUUUGCUAACACCAUAUUUGUAGAAGAAGAAGCUUCGAUUAUGAGGUCAUAUCCAUCUGAAGCAGCCUUAAUGAUGAUCAAGGUCAUGAUUAAGAAAUGAUACCAGCCAGGGAAGGGCCUAGGAAAAUAUGGGUAGAGGAUAGAAGACAUAGUGAUACUCCCAUAAAAUAAAGGGUGUUUCAGUCUGGGCGAUAACCCAACCAGAACCGACAAGGAAAGGAUAUCAGAGCAGGCAAAAAGGAAGAAGUAGGCUCGCAUGGGGCAGUUUGAGUACAAGAAGCCAAAUUUCCCUAUUCCACACUUCAAGCCAAGUUUUGUCAGCGUAGGGUUUGAGUCUUAUGAUUCGUUCUCCAUGCUUGAAGAGAAAUGCUCAUGUUAGUCAGGGGAUUAUGUUUUCCAUUGCACCCUAGGUACAAUUCUCUCCAACUGGGUUUAGGUCGAAGCACCAUCAUCAGUGUUCUGGGAAGACAAAUAAUCUAGUGUUAUACAUCAUUAGCCAUUCAUAGGGCUAUUUGAUGUUGUUGUUUCUUUCUUUAAGAUUGAAUUUUAAUUUUUCAUUUAUGUACUGGUACAAUUUCAAUGAAUCAAUUCAUGUAUUUGCAACUUUCCCAUCAUAUAUAGCACUAUACCAUACAAAUGUUAGUCUUUUCGUUUAUGUUUGUUUUCACCCUUUAUUUCUCAAUUACUUUCUUUCCAAAAACAAAAAACAAAAAAAUGACCAAUAGAAUGCCAAAAAAAAUUAACAUAAGAAAAAACAUUGUCCUAUUGUAAUGGAGAUCUGAAAGUGAUUCCAAAAAUAAUGACCAUGUUAACAAUCAUUCUUUUAACUUUGAUCAUCCUGUAAACUUGGUAGGAGAGGAAGAUAGUGAUGAUGACUAGGAAGCAUCUCUUGAGUUAUUAAGAUUGGUUGAACAGGAAGGCAGAGAGAUUGAACCCCAUGAUGAGCCUAUUGAGCUAGUAAAUCGAGGAACAGAGGAUGACAAGAAAGAGAUCAAAGUAGGCACUUUGAUGGACCCGAGUGAAAGGAACAAGCUAAUCAAAUUACUACUUGAGUAUAAAGAUAACUUCGCUUGGUCAUAUAGCGACAUGGCGGGUCUAGAUUGCAGUAUAGUGGAGCAUAAAUUACCUAUAAAACCUGAGUCUCCACCGGUCAAGCAGAAAUUAAGAAGAAUGAAGUCAAACCUUUCUCUGAGGGUGAAAGACGGAAUCCAAAAAUGGUUAGCAUCUGAAUUCAUAAAAGUUUCAGAGUACCCCCGAAUGGGUGGCAACUCUGGUCGUUGUAUCAUAUAAAGAGAGGAAACUUCGAAUAUGUGUUGACUAAUGAUAUCUCAACAACGCGAGCCGAAAAUAUGAUUUUCCAGUGCCCCACAUAGACAUACUAGUGGAUGGCACAGUAGACCAUGCACGGUUCUCAUUCAUGGACGGAUAUUCUGGUUACCACCAAAUCAAAAUGAUAGAAGAGGAUGUAGAGAAGACCAUUUUCAUCAUAAUGUGGGGAACCUAUUGCUAUCAGGUUAUGUCAUUCGGUUUAAGAAAUGUUAUAGCCACAUAUUAGUGUGCCAUGGUCGCUCUUUUCCAUGACAUGGUGCAUAAAGAAGUUGAAGUCUAUGUCGAUGAUAUAAUAUGCAAAUCAAAGACUAAAGGGGAGCAUAUGUGAAACCUGCAGAAGCUAUUCAAAAGAUUACGAGAUUAUAACCUCUAACUGAACCCCGUCAAGUGUAGUUUCGAGGUUAAGCCAGUUCGAGUUCUUGGCUUUAUAGUCAGUCAGAAGGGCAUUGAGGUAGAUCUGGAAAAGGUGAAAGCUAUCACUGAGAUGCCUCCUCCUAGAACAGAAAAAGAAGUUAGAGGUUUCUUGGGUCGGCUGAACUGCAUCUCCAGAUUCAUAUCAAAGUUGACAACUACAUGUGAGUCCAUCUUUAAGCUCCUAAGAAAGAAACAAAUCGUCAAGUGGAAUGAAGAAUGUCAAAAGGCUUUUGAAAAAAUUAAGCAGUACCUAUUAAAGUCACCUGUAUUAAUGCCUCUUAUACAUGAACGACCAUUGAUAAUGUACCUAACAGUAUUGGAUGACUCUAUGGGGUGCGUCUUUGCUCAACAUGACAAAUAUGGCAAGAAAUAGUGGGCUAUCUAUUACUUGAGUAAGAAGUUCACAAACUGUGAGACAAGGUAUUACUUGCUCAAACGAACAUGUUUCGCCUUAGCUUGGGUAUCACGUUGGCUGAGGCAAUACAUGUAAAGUCCUACUACGUGGCUUGUGUCUAAAAUGGACCUAGUGAAACUUAUUUUUGCGAAACUAAUGUUGAUGGGUAGAAUUGCCAGGUGGCAAGUACUAUUAUCAGAAUAUGACAUAGUCUAUGUCACCCAAAAGGUGAUCAAAGGAAGCGCACUUGCUGGCUACUUAGCCAAUCAACCGGUAGAAGGACAUGAGUCAAUGCAUCAAGAGUUUCCUGACAAGGGUAUCAUGAAUUUUUUCCUUAGAAGACCAAGAGGAAUCUUAUGAUAGGAGAACGAGAAUCUUAUGAUAGGAAGUUGAUACCUUAUAGAGAUCACAUACAGAGGCUAGUUGAACAAUUUGAGCAUGUCAAUUUCUAUCACAUCCCUAGAAAAGACAAUCGGUUGGUUGACGCAGUAUCCACCUUAUCCUCCAUGUUCCACAUCAGUGGAGAUGACCAACCUCUAAUCAGUAUAGGAAGCAGAGGUUAAUCAACUUAUUGAAAUACCAUAGAAAUAGAAGGAUAUGUUAAACCUUGGUACCACAAUAUAAAAGAAUACGUCAAGAGGAAAUAGUAUCUUCCAAGUGUCUCAGAUAAUGACCAAAGGACCUUAAGGAAAUUGGCCAUAAGUUUCUUCUUAAAUGAGGAAGUGAUUUAUAAAAGGAACCAUGACAUGGUACUCCUUAGGUGUGUCGAAGUAAAAGAGGCGGAUGUAAUCCUUACAGAUGUACACGAGGGUUUGUUUGGGACCCACGGAAACAGACAUGUCAUGGCUAGGACGAUAUUAAGGGCAGACUAUUACUGAUUAACCAUGGAGACUGAUUGCUGUAACCAUGUAAGGAAAUGCCACAAAUGUCAAAUUUAUACCAACAAUAUCAAUGCAUCCCCAAAUCCAUUGAAUAUUCUAUCAGCACCAUGGCAUUUCUCUAUAUGGAGAAUGGACGUCAUAUGACCCAUUAAUCAUAAAGCGACUUUAUAAGCCAAUAUUACCUGAUAGGUAGUGGUUAGGUUCAUUUAGAAGGAGUUGGUAUGUCGUUAAUGUCUACCAAGUAAAAUCAUCACGGAUAAUGCCACCAACCUGAAUAACAAGCUAAUGAGUGAGACAUGAGAAAAUUUCAAGAUCAAGCAUUAUACAUCUUUGCCCUACCAUCCUAAGAUGAAUGGCGCAAUUGAGGCUAUUAACAAGAAUAUAAAGAAGAUUGACCAAAAGAUGGUAGUAACUUAUAAUGAUUGGCAUGAAAUGUUGCCUUUCACCUUACAUAUAUACCACACUUUUAUUCGUACUUCCACUAGGGCCACGACUUAUUCCCUGGAAUACAGAAUGACUUAUUCCCUGGAAUACAGAAUGGAUGUAGUUCUUCCUAUCGAGGUAGAGAUCCCAUCAUUAAGAAUUAUUGAAAAGUCAGAAUUAGAAGAAAUAGAAUGGGUUCAAGCUCCUUAUGAUCAAUUGAACCUAACUGAAGGAAAAAAGGUAAGUUGUUGUGUGCCAUGGACAACUUUAUCAGUGAAAAAUAAUGAAAGCCUGUGCAAAGAAAGUUCACCCACGUCAAUUUCAAUUAGGAGACAUGGUAUUUAAGAAGAUUUUACCAAUUCAAAAAGACCAUAAGAGAAAAUGGACUCCGAAUUAUGGAGGCCUUAUAUAGUGAAGAAAGUUUUCUCUGGUGGAGCCUUAAUACUGACUAACAUGGAUGUAAAUGACCUGCACAUGUCGGCAAACACAGAUGUUGUGAAAAAGUAUUACGCCGAAAGAGGUUUUCCCUUGGAAAUGUAGUGAAGAAAUAUAUCAUAUUUCUCAAUCAAGGUUUUAUUGAUGCAUUAUACAUUGUCACUUUUAUUUGUUGUCUUGCAUGAGAAUGAUAUAAAGAAAACCCAACUGAUGUGAACGUGGAUAGACCUACUUAGUUUUGAUGAAGACUAGGAGUUAAAUGGAAGCUUAAAGACUUGGACGUCACCACAUGGACUGGAGAACCAAUGAGUGAAUAAGUUUUUGGAACUAAGAGGUAAAAUCUAUCCUUCGCUCAUUCGGGAAUUUUACAACAACUAUAGGUAUAAGGAUGAGGUUUAUUCUUCAAUGGUUAUGGGAAAAUGAUAGUAUUGGAUGAGGAACUCUUUCUGGAAGUUGGAGGUCUAACUAGUAAUGGACCAAUGUUAGGAGAAUGUAACAAUGAGUUGUGGGACUCAUUUGAUGUUGUUGAGAUGUACAAAUCAUGCAUAAGAGGGUCUCACUUGUUUGUACAAGGAGAAUUGACCAAAGCUGGGUCAUUAUCUAUUGAAAACGGGCUCUUACUUUACCUAAUUGCGUAUAUUUUAGUUCAAAGGAAUACAAACCAUGCUCAACCUACAAUCAAUGAUCUCAAGCUCAUGUUCGCCAUAAGGGAAGGCGUUAUUGUAAAGUGGCCUUUAGAAAUCUUGAAAGUUGUGAAUGGCAUAGCUUCGUCUUCAUCUAGGUUGCUUGUCUAUGGGAUUUUCAUCUCCCGUGUCAUUGACUACUAGGAAAUCUACACGUCAUAUGUGGACACAAUGACGAGAAACUCCCGAGAGCACCUUGUAGGUGACAAUCUUAUUCACAAGAUGGGCAUAUACAAGUAUGGAAAUGUAUGGAAAUAUCAAGAGGAUUACAAUGCCAACAUGAAUGAAAACUUACGAAAUGAAGACCGUGCUGAAAAUCCUCGUGAGCCAAAUCUUGAGCAAUCACAAAUUGAGGCAAAUGUUGAACCUCAGGUACCAUCGUUUGGGCUUGCACAGUUGGAUGCUAUGAAACUACACCUAAAUGCGAGAACUGAUGAUCAUUUUCAGUCCUUGAGAGACUUUAUGCCAGAUGAGUUCCAACAGCAACAAUAAAGAUUAUCGAAGGAGCUUGAAUGCUUCAGCUUCGUUAUGAGCACCACUCGUGGCUUUUCAUCACCACCACCACCACCUCAAGAGUAGCCUACAUAGGAUUUUCUAGAGUUUAGGGUGUGUGUGUUUGCUUUUGAGACUGUAUUUUGAUGUUGGUUGUAUUUUGUUGUUUCUGUUGAACUUACCUAUGUACUUGAUGCACUUAUUUUGUAAUGUCUUGUAAACUUUGUUAUUAACUUGGAUUAUGUUUCAAUUAUUAUGUGAGCCUUUGACCUUAUCUAGUUGUGUAUCUCUUCUAUUGAAUGGUUAAUAUGCUCUGUAUGUGAUUUAACCAAAAUCAUUAAUCAUUCUAUGCAAUAUAUGUCAAACUUGCACAAAUAGAUAUAUCUCGCAAUUAAUUUCUGUCAUAAUGUGUCUUUAUUAUGAAUAAUCGAUUAACUCCAUGAAAAUAAUCGAUUAAUGAUAAACAUUAUGCACUUGUUCAAUUGUUUUUAGACUGCUUAGUCGAUUAUCCUUGAAUAUUUAAUCAAUUUAGACUAGUAAAUUUUGUGUAUAUCUUUCCUUGCUUUUGGCUAUUAAUAUCAUACAUUAUCAUAGCUUUUUGAUCAUGCCAAAAGGGGGAGAAAGUGUUGUUUGAGUUGUUUCGCAGGUUGUAGUGAGCUUCCGCAUAUAAUCAUGAAAUGCUUCCUGUGAGUCACCUCUUACAUGUUUUAAGGGGAAGAACAAAGUGAGGGGGAGCACCGCAUUCCGAUUCAACCAUUGCAAACAUAUUCUGUCCAACAUCAAGCCAUCAAAAAAGUGAUAUGUUUCUGAGUUUGUCAUCAUCAAAAGGGGAAGAUUGAAAUGGUAAACAAUCAAAGUAUGCCAUCAAGAUUGACCUCCUUAGUUUUGAUGAAGACAAGGAGUUACAUGGAAGCUUGAAGACUUGGAUAUCACCACAAAAAAACAUACCGAAAACUCAAGGUCAACGUCCUAGAACUAUAUAUAUAUAUAUAUAUAUAUGAUAAGUAAGACUCAUGUAUUCGCAUUAGGCAUACAUGAUUUUGUGCAUAAAGAAAUCAAUCAUUUCAAAAAUCAUGAGCUGCACGUUCUUUCAUCAUAUACAGUGUAUACCAUACAUUUAGGAAAAACCAUUUUCACACAUUAUAACCGAUUAGCUCAAUUGAUAAUUGAUUAAAUCUUGUUAAAACCCGUUAAUCGAUUAAGGAAAUGGGUAAUCGAUUAAAAGAAGUUACAGUAGCUAACCUCCUAGGAUUUCUGGCUUAUUAAUCGAUUAAGAAAGUUAAUAAUAAAUUAAGCCAUAACUGAAAAUUGUUUUAAUAAACACAUUAAUCGAUUAACCACUUAUAUAAUCAAUUAAUAUCAGUUAGACUCAGUUAUAUACAAUAGCUGUUACUUUAAACAAAACACAUAAAGUUUUUAGAAAACAGAUUUCGAAUUUUCAAUUCAGAGACAGAGAGAAAAACUCAAGAUUCUUAUAGCUUAAUUGUCAAAUUUAUCCUGCUGAUCUUCGAGAAGUUUUUCUUGCAUUUUUGUACAAGAGAGAAAACAAAGAGAAAAAAGAUAAAUUCUUUUCCAAAAGUGCUGAAAGUUUUCAUUCAUUUGAAAAACCUUGCUUAAUUUUCACAUCUAGUUUUAGGGUUGUUUAUGAGAGCUCUGUCAGGGGUUGUAGAGUCGAAUUCAGAGUCUUUAUCCUCACAUUUGGUGUGCAAAGUAACUCGGCAGAUUUUCUAUUAUUCAAGGAUAAUUCUCGUGGUGUGUUGGUAUCAUCACAGUAGAGAAUUACUAGUCUUCACGAGGUAAGAAGUCUUGAAUCGAACGAUAGUUUCAGGUGGGGCCAGAUUCACGAAUGGUGUUGUAUCCUAGUAGGCAGUUAGAUUGGUCAAACCGAGCGUGUAGACUGAACGGGUUCAGGAAAGAAGUUCUUGCUAGGUGUAUUGGAGGUGUGGAUGUAAUCAAACAUACAUUUCUGAUAGUGAAGAAAAUCUCCCAAAUUAGCCGAGAGGCCCGAAUGUAGUUUGCAAGUGGACCCACAAACAAAACAGGAUAAAAAUCCUCGAGCAUCUUUCUCUUUUGUCUUUACUUGUUUUCCGUGUUUAAUUGCAUUCUGUGAUUAGUGCUAAUUGUUGUUAAUCUAUGAAUAAUCAAAAAUCAAUUUAGGUUGUAACAUUCAGAAAUCAUCAUUGUUUUCAUCACAAGAAAAGUAUGUUUUUCAAAGAAUCAAUAAUUAGCAUAAUCGAUUAACAAGCUAACUAUAAUCGAUUAAAUCAAAUGUCAUUAAUCGAUUAACCCUGUUAUUAAUCGAUUAACUGCAACAACUUUGUAUUAUGCGUAUAAAUUAGAAAAGCGGGAUUAGUGUCCACUACACCUAUUCACCCCCCCCCCUUAGGUGUAUUUUACCUUACUAGUACCCAACAAGUGGUAUCGGAGCUACAACGAAGGUGCUAGCUUGGCCGCUUAAUUCAUUGAUCCUAGGGAUUAUCACUAUGGGUUCCACUAACCCUUUCGACGGUGAUGGAGCAUCCAUUAACCGCCCUCCGAUUUUCAUUGGCGAGGGGUACGCCUACUAGAAGGUGCGUAUGAGAAUCUUUAUUGAGGAAAUCGACACGAAGAUUUGGGACUCUGUUGUCAAUGGGCCUUUUACUCCACUACACUUGGUGGAUGGUGAACCCGAAGAAAAACCAAAAGGAUUGUGGACAGACGAAGAGAAACGUAAAGUCCAGCACAAUCUUAAGGCAAAGAACAUAAUAACUUUUGCCUUAUCAUACGAUGAAUUCUUCAGGGUAUCAUAAUGCCAAAAUGCAAAGGAAAUGUGGGAUAACUUACAAGUAACCCACGAAGGCAAAAGUGAAGUUAAGCGCGCAAGAUGGAAUGCGUUAACACAUGAAUAUGAGUUGUUUCAUAUGUUUCAAGAUGAAUCAAUAAGUUAAAUGCAAACAAGAUUCACUCAUAUUGUUAAUCAUUUAAUUGCUUUAGAUAAGAGUUUUGCUAUUGGUGAACUUGCUAACAAAGUGUUGCAUUGUCUUGAUAGGAAAUGGUAGCCCAUGGUAACGACAAUCAUGGAAUUAAAAGACUUAGAUUCAAAGCCUCUAGCAACUCUCUUUGGCAAACUCCAGGAGCAUGAAAUGGAGUUGGGGCGCUUAACCAUGCAUGAAGAUUCAGACAUAAAGAUAAAAGGAAUCUCUCUAAAAGCUACAUCGUCAUAAGAACAAGAACUUAGAGAUUACGAAGAUUCUGAGUCUGAUAGAUAACGAAAUCUUAACUCUCCUAGUUCGAAAAUUUGGCAAAUUUCUCAAGAUGAAAGGAGGGUUCAAGCGUUUUCAAAAGAAAGAGGUGAGUGAUUCAACCAGAAGAGGCAAAGCUCCCAAAGAUCGCCUAAUUUGCCACGAGUGUGGCAAAGUAGGCCAUAUGAAAUAUCAAUGCCCGAGUCACGUCAAGAAGGUUGAAAAUGAAAAGAGAAACCCCCGAGAAUUUAAAUCCCAUAAGGCUUAUAUAGUUUGCGAUGCACCGGAGGACGAAACAACAACUAGCACAUCCGAUGAGGAGGUGACCGCCAAACUAUGGUUAAUGGAAAACACUCAAGAAAUGGAAGCACAAGUGAUCAUGAUGGCACAAGUAAGGUACAAUAUUUUGACACUUCUUCGUGCUCUGAUGAGUCUCCUACGUACGAUGAAUUGUAUAGUGCUUUUGUUGAGUUACAUUAGGAACUAAAGAAACUAGCUAAGGUAAAUAUAGAUAGGAAACGAGUCAUCAUGUUGCAUGAAAAUAAAAUAACUAAAAUGCAAGAGGAAUUGAAUGAAUUAAAACUAUAAAAUGAGACUCUAGAUCAUAUUUACUGUUCUGCCUCAUGUAGUUGCUUCACUAAGUUAAUUAAGACUCCUAUAUGUGACCAAUGUGAUAUUUUGAAUGCUAGAAUUUCUGAUUUAAAAUAUAAAUUAGCAAAGUUCAUAUAUAGUAGUCAUAAUCUGAACAACUUACUUGUUGCAUCUAGAAACAUAGGUAAUCAUGAAGGUCUAGGCUAUAAACCAAAGAAUAGAAGAAAACCAUAUAUAAGACAAGUAGCACACAUGCAUACUAGGUUUAAUCAUAACAUGCCUACUAGCUUUUAUUGUGAUACAUAUGGUCAUACAUCUACAUCAUGCUACAUUAGAAAAUAUGGUAUGUCAAGUGGCAAAUAUGUAUGGGUGCAAGAAGGACUACAUACCUUGAUUACUAACAAGAAGGGACCCAAGAUAACUUGGGUACCCAAACAAACCAAGUAAGCUGUUUUGUAUAUAUGCCUUCGGACACAAGGAAAACACUAAUAUUUGAUAUUGGAUGUUCGAGGCAUAUGACGAGUGUUCGAUCAAAAAUACUUGAUCUAACACUCAAGGAUAAAGUAAAUUAAAUAAGUAGCAUAAUAGUAGCUAUUCAAACAAGGUACGAGAUGGAAAAAUGAAAAAAAAAGACAACAACUAAUGCAUCAUCCUAAAAUUUCAACAAGGAUGAAAGAGGUAAAGCUAAAGAGGUAACAAAAUAUCGAGACUCAAUUGAUCCAUCGCUAUAUCUAAUUGUUAGUAGUCCUCAUAUCAUGUUUAAUGUAUGUAUAUGCACAAGAUACCAGACAUUACCUAAAGAAUCACAUGUUACUACUAUUAAACAAAUCAUGAAGUAUUUAAAACUUGAUCUUGAAUACAUGCUAUUAAGUCAUAUAUGUUGUGAAUGCAUGAUUCAUAUGCUCAAAUUAUCUUCAUGGGUGUUUUUGUGCUUCUUUAUUGUGUCAUAUACAUUUUAGGAUUAGUAUCUUAGGAACAACACUUUUGUAUACUCUAGAAAUCUACAAAAUGCAUUGAAAUCUGAGAUAGUUUUGUCAAUAAUCGAUUGUUCUGUGUUUUAAUCGAUUACUUCGAGUUCCAGUAACCAGAAUAAAUUUUCAUCUUUUUCUUAAUCGAUUAUCGCACGUAUUAAUCAAUUACAUGGGCCAAUUUUUUUGAAAAACUGAAAAUUUUAAGUUGUUUAAUUGAUUAUCGUGUUACUUAAUCGAUUACCUGUGCUCAAAAGUUUAAAACUUUUGAUCAUUUUUAGGUGGUUAAUUGAUUAACUACAAGAAAUAAUCGAUUAAUGGUAGUACUAUAUCAGUUUCAAGUGAUACUCUGGGUCAUUUCCACUUAGAACCCUAAACCCUCUUUGCUUCCCCGCUUCUGAACCAAUUCUAAAAUUGAGUGUUCCUAACCAAAUCAAUAGCUAAUUCACAUACUAUCUCAUAGUUCCAUCUUCCUACAACCCUCAAUUUCUACAAAAUCUGAAUCUUUCACCAUUUUUCUUUAUUAGAAACCCUAUAUCCCAAAUACAUAAAAUCGAUUAUUAAAUCAAAUAAUCAAACUUUAUACCUGAAAUUAUGAGUGAAUCACGUUCAAUGAAAGUGAAGCAUAGUGCCAAACGUGCCAGAGGCAGGGAAAAAGGUACUUAUUCUGCUCAAAGCGGAAGAAAGAAUCGCAGUGACCCUUAUUACCCUCCCAUUCUCCAAGAAGCUCAGUUGGCCAAGUUCCAAGGUAGAAAACAAACAUACAUCCGAUAUGCGGAUGCGAAGUUGGUGGCCGAACAAGGUUUUGAAUUCCCACAUGGACUAGAGAACCAAUGAGCGAAUAAGUUUUUGGAAUUAAGAGGUAAAAUCUAUCAUUCGCUCAUCCGAGAACUUUACAGCAACUAUAGGUAUAAGGAUGAGGUUUGUUCUUCAAUGGUUAUGGGAAAAUGAUAGUAUUGGAUGAGGAACUAUUUCUGGAAGUUGGAGGUCUAACUAGUGAUGGACCAAUGUUAGGAGAUUGUAACAAUGAGUCGUGGGACACAUUUGAUGUUGUUGAGAUGUACAAAUCAUGCCUAAGAGGGCCUCACUUGUUUAUACAAGGAGAAUUGACCAAAGUUGGGUCAUUAUCUGUUGAAAACCGGCUCUUACAUUACCUAAUUGCGUAUAUUUUAGUUCAAAGGAAUACAAACCAUGCUCAACCUACAAUCAAUGAUCUCAAGCUCAUGUUCGCCAUAAGGGAAGGCAUUGUUGUAAGUUGGCCUUCAGAAAUCUUGAAAGUUAUGAAUGGCAUAACUUCAUCUUCAUCUAGGUUGCUUGCCUAUGGGAUUUUCAUCUCCUGUGCCGUUGACUAUUACGAAAUCUACACGUCAUAUGUGGACACAAUGACCAGAAACUCCCGAGAGCACCUUGUAGGUGACAAUCUUAUUCACAAGAUGGGCUUAUACAAGUAUGGAAAUGUAUGGAAAUAUCAAGAGGAUCACAAUGCCAACGUGAAUGAAAACUUACCGAAUGAAGACCAUGCUGAAAAUCCUCGUGAGCCAAACCUUGAGAAAUCACAAACCGAGGCAAAUGUUGAACCUCAGGUACCAUCGUUUGGGCUUGCACACUUGGAUGCUAUGAAACAACACCUAAAUGCGAGAAUUGAUGGUCAUUUUCAGUCCUUGAGACACUCUAUGGCAGUUGAGUUCUAACAACAACAAUAAAGAUUAUCUGAGGAGCUUGAACGCUUCAGCUUCAUUAUAAGCACCACUUGUGGCUUUUCAUCACCACCACCUCAAGAGUAGCCUAGAUAGGAUUUUCUAGAGUCUAGGGUGUGUGUGUGUUUGCUUUUGAGACCGUAGUUUGAUGUUGGUUGUAUUUUGUUAUUUAUGUUGAACUACCUAUGUACUUGAUGCACUUAUUUUGUAAUGUCUCGUAAACUUUGUGAUUAACUUGGAUUAUGUUUCAAUUAUUGUGUGAGACUUUGACCUUAUCUAGUUGUGUAUUUCUUCUAUUGAAUGGUUAAUAUGAUAUGUAUGUGAUUUAACCAAAAUCAUUAAUCAUUCUAUGCAAUAUAUGUCAAACUUCAUCUAACCAUAGGAUCAUGCAUUUUAUUAUAACAUGCAUAACAUAUUCCGCAUUUCCAAAUAUUCUACUUACAAAAUUGUUUUAUUGAAUUUGUAUCAUGCUAUGAAAAUAAAAACUCUAACCCUUACAUCACUUGAUGACAUUCAUCUUUCAUCCAAAAGAUAAUAUGGUGCCAACAAAUACAAAGAAAUUCUCUACUCCAAUACAAUCAUGAGCGACUUCACGCGCUGAUCCCAAGUUGAUCCAGACAUCAUCUUAAGACCGAGUGUUAUGGUGCUAAGAAAGCAGUAACACGAUAUUUACUGCAAGAUGAGACUGCCCCCUGAGGACAUUUCCCUAUGAACUGAUAACUUAAGCAUUAAGUCGAAACACAUUCGCAUUCUUUUCAUACAACUCAUGUCAUAAAUUCUAUCAUUAACAUAUACAUAACUCAACAUAUAUCUCAUGCAUCAAUAAUAAUUUCAUGCAUUGCAUAGCAUAUUCCCAAGCAAUCACAUUCAAAACACAUCUUACUUGCAUAAUCAAACCCAAGGAAAGUCGACCAAGACUUUCUGAGCCAAUCAAAUCAUCUAGACCUAUCAACAUUGUCAGACUCAGACGCCGAAAUGUUAGAACGUCCUUCCUUGUCAAAAAGGACUUUGUCAAACUCAUAUAUCAAGAUGCUUUUCUUAUGAACCUAGAUUUCGGUAGUACCCCGACCUAUGUUCCUAGUGCUUUAAUGUCCCAAGUUUUGGCAGUACCCUGACCUGCAUUCUUAGUUUUACCUUCCUGAAUUCUAGUAGUUCCUGACCCGCGUCUUUGGUGUUCUCUUGUCAACCUAGGUUCCGGAAGUACCCCAACCUAUGUUCCUAGUGCUUUGAUGUCCCAAGUUUCGGGAGUACCCUGACCUGCAUUCUUGGUUUUACCAUCCCAAGUUUCGGCAGUACCCCGACUUGUGUCUUCGGUGUUCUCUUGUUAACCUAGGUUCCAGCAGUACCUCGACUAGUGUUCCUAGUGCUUUAAUGUCCUAAGUUUCAGCAGUGCCCCGACCUGCGUUCUUGGUUUUACCUUCCCGAAUUCUGGCAGUUCUCCGACCUACGUCUUCGGUGUUCUCUUGUCAAUCUAGAUUCUGGAAGUACCUUGACCUGCGUUCAUAGCGCUUUGAUGUCCCAAGUUCCGGCAGUACCUCGACCCGUGUUUUUGGUUUUACCUUCCCGAUUUUUUACAGUACCCCGACCUGUGUCUUCAGUGUUCUCUUGUCAACCUAGGUUCCGGUAGUACCCCAACCUGCGUUCCUAUUGCUUUGAUGUCCCAAGUUUCGGUAGUACCCCGACUUGUAUUCUUGGUUUUACCUUCCCAAAUUCCGGAAUUACACCGACUUGCAUCUUCGAUGUUCUCUUAUCAACCUAGCUUUCGGCAGUACCCCAACCUGCAUUCAUAGCGCUUUGAUGUCCCAAGUUUUGGUAGUAUCCCAAUAUGCGUUCUUGCUUAUUUCUCUAACCUCUAUCUUUAGAGGCACCAUUUGAUUAAUUUUCAGAGCAUGUUUUAAAUCAUUGUCGGGCUUUGUGACCGAAAAUUUUGCAACAUCGCCAGCUUCCAAUGCCAUACCAUCAUCACACGAGGAGUGUGGUCGAGCUCAAGCUUUAGUGUAUAUCCAACUUGAGUUGAUCUUUCCGAUUACCCAGUUCUAAUUGCAUCUUUGAACCGCAGCUUAGACUCUUGUCUCUUUUGCGGCUCCCCCGAACGAGGAGUGGGUCACGAUUAAAAAACACUCACAUGACUAAACUAUAAUAAUCUAAAAUCAUCCCUUAACCUUAACCCCAAACUAAAGGGGCUAUAUAAAACCCCACUUAGCACACCUAAGAUGCAACUUGUCCUAAAACACAUGGUUAACAGCGUUUUUCUUAAAAAAGGUAGAGAUUAGCAUAGAAGGAAAAAACAAUGGAGAGAAAGGAGGUUUUUCUUUUAAAGAUAACAAAAGGAACCAUCUUUUAUUGAGAACCAUCAUCCAGAGGCAAUUUCAUUAGGUUCACUUCUUACCUUAUUCUUUAUUUUCUUUGUUAAAGCUCUUUGCAUUUUUUCAUUUUUUCAUGAUGUUGACAUGAUGAGCCAAAAAGAAGUGGGGUUUUAAACCUGUAUGCAGUGCCACCUUCACGUCACUAUAGAUAAAUUUUAGUGAUGGAAAUGCCUAAUAACAAAAUCCAUGAAGACUUCUGUUUGCAUGAUUUAUAGAAUGUUAUUCAAGAUCACAACAUAAUUUUUUUAACUAUGGAAUUUAUUUUUGGUUCAAGAUAAUAAAAAGGAACACGAAAUAUCAAAGGGAAGUGAGUUGAUGUGCCUAUGACGUAUGUAUUGCAUCAAGCAUCCCUCGAGGUUAGUGAUGUCUUUACCAGAAUAACAGCGUAAAACAAGGUGUCAACAUGUAGAAGGGGAUCUUAAUGGUUAUGACUCAUAGAGAAAGACACCAAAAGAUUUGAAAGUUUUUAUGGGGGUUAUCCCAUAUGUAGCAAAUAUGGAAGAUCGUAUUAUCAAAUAACGUUUACUAAUUUAUGGUUAAUGAUUCAUCCAAAAAAGAGUAUUCAAUCUAUUCGACCAAUCAAAAUUUUCAAAUGGAUUAUUUUGGAUUGAGAUAUUUUUUUUCUUCUUCUUACAUAUUGGAUCAAUUAAUUUUCAAGCACAAGCUUAACCUAACCAAAAACCAAUGUCUACCACAGGCCUACGGCUUGCAUCGGCCUAUGCCCAACAUUGGCACUAACUCUAAUAUGGAAAUUGAGGUCACUAGGUGUUUAUGAUAUAUAUUUAUUUCAGAUGUUAUAUUAUAAGUGAUCUAAUUACUAGCAUCCUAUAGAUUUCUAAAAAAACUAAUAACGAAUAUGGGCUUAAUGAGUGGAUAACCUAUAGGGAUAAUGUGAACCGUAUAAGUUAACACAUAAGGAAGGUUAUGAUCCCCAAUACAUCAAAUCACAACUAAUUUUCACUUCUCCCCAUUAGAGAGAAAAUAAAGGUCCGAAAAGGAAUUGAGGAUUUGGUUGAGGAAGACCAUCAUACCAAAACUCUCUCAAAAGGUAUAUCAAAGGAGUAGAUCAGAGAAGAUGGAUUCAGGGAUUCAGGUAUGACUUUAUAUCCUUGUUUUAUAUUAUGUGUGAGAAUCAUGAUAUUCAAGAUAUUAGGAUUGGUAUUUCAUCAAUCAUUAGGAAAUAUCUAACAAGUGGUAUCAGAGCUACCAGGUUCUGAAUUUUAUGGUUCUCCAUUAAAGUUGUUUUUCCCCUAAUUUUUUAUGAACCCUAACUUUUAAAUUUGGAAAUUUUUAUGCUUCCGCUAUUGGUUAUGAAAUUGGGUAUUUAGGAAUAAUGAGGAUAACUUUUAUUCGCUUCCGCUUAUUUGAAUUAUGAAUCCUUGCAACAUGUGUUGAAUUAUAUAUUCAGAUCUGUACAUGAACAUUACAUUAACUUCUGUGACUCUGUUAUGCAAUAUUUAUAUUAUACAUUGCAUUGUCACACAUGUUCUAUUCAGUUCAUUCUCUCAAUUUUUCAUCUAUAUACAUUGCCUCAAAUUUCAUUUACUGCAUUGUUGCGUUAAAUUUUAUGUUGAUUUCAAUAUAUAUAUUGAAAUUUAAAGAACUUUUCUUUUGUUAAUGUUUAAUUUAGUAAAAAGUUAUUAAGGCAAUUUAUCAUGGCUUAUGACUUUCAUUUUUUUAAGCUUGACUUUUAUUAAAUUACACAUAAAUUCUUACAGUUGCUAUGGGUUGCACAAUUAUAUUAUAUAUGUUUGUACUUUUGUUGUAUUAUACACACUGAAUUUCUAUAUAUAUCUUUUAAGAUAUGCAUGAUCAUAUUUGAUUUGGAAUUUCGAUAAUACUUUGCAUUAUUAAGAUUGCAAUUUUAAAGCGUUGAUAUAUAUAAUAUAUCUUUUUUGCUUUGGAAUUAUAUUAUGAGAUUAGAUUUGUUAAUCAUAAAAGAUAUCAAAUCUCAAGGUUUUAAUUCCAAGAUCAUAAUUUUUUUUUUUGUAAUGGACCUAUAUUGUUUAUUUUUGUCUGGUAAUUAUUUUGAAGUAACUGAUACAAUAUAUUGUCAAAGUGACCUCUAUUGUGGAAAUUGAUUAAAAUUAUAUAUAUGAGUAUGAGAUUAUUUAUGCGAAUUGUGUUCGGCCCUAAGGAAGACACAAGGCCAAAUAAUAACAUACUUGUGAUGAUUAAUAUGUCACAAUUAUAAGUUUUUUUUUCCAUGUGAAUGAUAGUCAGUCCUAAGAAAGGCUAUUGUUUGACAGAACUAAUUGUUAAUAUUUGAUUAUUACGUUGAGAGUACCACUUACAAAUUAAUUUCUCUGUACAAAGACUAGAAACUCAUGUUGUGCUAGGUAUCUUGUGAUAGGUCUAUUAUGUGAACAUGUCUUGUUUUAUAUAUUACUUGACUUAUUUGUUUAAAUGGUUACAACACUUAUGGUUUGUUGCAUUGGUUGAUGGCUAAUUGCAUUAUUAAGUGGUUGCUAUUGUUGAAGCAUUGUUUCUGUUUUGACAGUUUGCCCUGCCAUGUUUAAUCAUGUUUAAAAUAGUAAUAUAUUUUUUUAUGGAAAAUUCAAAAUGACCAUUAUUGGAAUUCGAAAUACAGUCAUAACACUUAUGGUUUGUUGCAUUGGUUGGUGGCUAAUAUCAUUAUUAAGUAGAUGCUAUUGUUGAAGCAUUAUUUCUAUUUGAACAACUUGCCCUACCAUGUUUAAUCAUGUAUAUAAUGGUAAUAUUUUUUUUAUGGAAAAUUCAAAAGGAUCAAUACUGGAAUUCGAAAUGAAGUCCUUGUGAUGAGAAUGAUGCAAUGCUAUCAAUAGGCUAUAAUGAAUAUACCUAUUUAUAUGUCGAUAUAAAUAAGAUAUGUUUUGUAUUAAUGUUGUGUUGAAUCAAAGUCAACUAAAUGGUUUUUUUUUGGAAAAUAAAAUUUGUUUGACAUUUUAAGUGAAUCUAUUAAAUAUGAAGUCGCCAAAGUGAUAUAUUUUUUGUGAAUUGUUCAUAAUAAGUGUCAAAUGCUAGUGCAUAUAUGUAUCCAUGCGGGUAUUAACCGACCUAAAGGAAGAUUAUUAUUGGCCGGAUUAUAUACACACAUGUGAUGGUAAAUAUGUGAUUAUUAUAAAGUUGCAUAUAAAUGAAUGACAAAUCAGUACAAAGAAAGGUUUAUUAUUUGACAUGCAUUAUGAAUAAUGUUUGACCACAAACAAGAGUAUCAUUAGUGAUUGAUAUGAAAUAUCAAGCUAAUUGUAUGUUUGGAUUUUAUGCGAAUAGUGAUUGGCUCAAAGGAAGAUCUUUAUUUGGCCCAAAUUACAAACAUACUUGUAGCAAUAAAUAUAUAAUAAUCAUAUGGUUUUCCAUGUGAAUAGUAAGUCGGUCCAAAGAAAGACUUAUUAUUUGACUAGACUGAUUAUCAAUAUUUGAUUACUACAUUGAGUGUAUCACUUUCAAGUUAAUAUUUUGUCGAAAGACUGAAUAUUAAUGUUGUGCCAGGUAACUCGUGAUGUGCCCCAUUAUCAUUUGAAUUUAAGUAUUAAAGUUGAAUGUGAGUUUAAUUGCAAGAAUGAUUGCAAUUUUUUUUGUUCUUUUACUAGUGUUGCAAAUAUUUCUGCUCAAAUUAAGAACAUCUCAUUGCUAAAUGGGACAAACUUUAAGGUCUGGAAGGAAGCCGUAUAUAUUAUUCUUGGUUGUACGGAUUUAGAUCUGGCACUUCGGGUGGAGAAAUUGACUUCUAUUAUGGAAAUCCUCGAUGAGGUUAAAAAUUGAGAAAUUGGAAUACUUUAACUGAAUGUGUCUAAUGAUCAUGAAACGCUCUAUUUUAGGAGCGUAUCAAGGCUCUAUUUCCGAGGGUCAGAGUUCAAAAAAGUUCCUUGAAGAAAUAGAACCAUGUUUUGCCAAAAAUGAAAAGGCAGAGACGAGUAGCCUUUUAGCUAAACUCAUCUCUAUGAAGUAUAAAGGCAAAUGGAACAUAGGGGAGUACAUUAUGGAUAUUUCUAAUCUCUCAUCAAAACUCAAGUCACUUAAGUUAGAGCUUCGUGAUGACUUGCUCGUGCACUUGGUUUUAAUCUCACUUACUACACACUUUCGGCAAUUGAAAGUAAGUUUUAACACUCAGAUGAACUAUGUGCAAGAGGAAGAGAGACUGCAAAUAGAUAAGACUGAAAGUGUCCACUUAGUUAUGAUCUCUCAAAAUAAGAUAAGAAAGAACAAUAAGGAUGCUGUGAAAUGGCUAUUUGUGGUUUUUCCUCAGAGAAUGUGACAUUUUUCUUCAAUACACUAUGUCAGGCAAACCUAGGGCAUUGUUGAGCGAUUAAACCAAACUCUUAAGGAUAUGGUGAGAAGUAUGAUUAGUCAUUCUUCCUUGCUAGAGUCUCUUUGGGGGAGAGCUUUAAAGACCACAAUUUACCUCCUUAACCGAGUGCCAAGUAAAGCAGUUAACAAAACCCCAUAUGAGCUUUGGACUAAUAAAAGGCCAAGCUUAAAACACUUGCACGUUUGGGAUUGUCCGAAUGAAGCGCGGCCUUAUAGAUCGCAUGAAAUAAAAUUGGACUCUAGAAUUGUUAGCUGUUAUUUUGUUGGCUAUGUUGAACGCUCUCGGGGCUAUAAAUUUUAUGAUCCACUUCAAGACUCUUUUUUGAUAUGGGAAAUGCAAGCUUUCUUGAGGAAGUUGAUUUUGGGAAGGAAGAGAACAUACGGAAUGUUGUCUUUGAAGAAGAACCUGUCACUGAUAGUGAACAAGUUCUUGUGCCUAUUACCAUCAAGGAAUGAAUUCGGUAAUAGAAGAUAAUGUUCAGAAUAUUGUCCUUGACAAUAUUUCAGAACAAGACAACAAUGAGGUUCUCCCUCAAGUACCUAUAGAACAAAUUCAACAACCUCAAGAAGUAGAAGUGCCAUUAAGGAGAUCCACUAGAGAGACGAAAAAUGCAAUUCCUGAUGAUUAUAUUGUAUUUCUUGAAGAACAUGAGGAUGGCAUUGGGUUAACAGAACAUGAUCCAUUGAACUUUUGUCAAGCCAUGAAAAGUUCUAACUCUCAAAAGUGGAUUGAUGUCAUGAAGGAUGAGAUGAAGUCUAUGCAUGAUAAUGACGUUUGGGAUCUUGUCCAAUUACCUGUAGGUGCGAAACCUAUUGGUUGAAAAUAGAUAUUUAAAACCAAGAGGGAUUUGAAGGGUAAUAUUGACAGAUAUAAAGCUCGUCUAGUAGCUAAAGACUUCACUAAAAAAGAAGGCAUUGAUUAUAAAGAAACAUUUUCUCCAGUAUCUUCGAAGGAUUCUUUUAGAAUAAUAUGGCCACUAGUGGCUCAUUUUGAUUUAGAGCUACAUCAUAUGGAUGUGAAGAUUACGUUUCUUAAUGGUGACAUUAAGGAAACGAUCUAUAUGGUGCAACCAGAAAACUUUGUGUCAGUUGGCUCAAAGUCUAUGGUAUGCAAAUUAAAGAAAUCCAUUAAUGGGCUUAAACAAGCUUCUCGUCAAUGGAAUCACAAAUUUCAUCAAGUUAUUACCUCGUAUGGUUUUGAGGCAAAUAAAGUUGAAGAUUGUGUAUACCAUAAAUUCAGUGGGAGUAUAUUUAUCUUCUUGGUAUUAUAUAUCGAUGAUAUGCUGCUUGCUAGUAGUGAUAUGGGACUAUUGCAUGAGACCAAGAGAUUUCUAACGAAGAAUUUCGAAAUGAAAAAUCUUGGGGAUGCUUCUUUUGUAUUAGGUAUUCGGAUACUGAGAGAUCGCUCUCAAGGUAUCCUAAGGUUAUCACAAGAAAGCUAUAUAGAUAAAGUCCUGGAUAGAUUUGACAUGAAAGACACUAAACUAGGGGAUACCCCCAUAGCUAAGGGAGACAAGUUUAAUCUCGAACAGUACCCUAAUAAUGACCUUGAAAGAUACAAGAUGCAAAAGAUUCCUUAUGCAUCUACAGUAGGAAUUCUAAUGUAUACUCAAGUUUGCACACGCCUCGACAUAGCAUUUGUUGUGGGAGUUUUGGACAGAUAUUUGAGUAAUCAUGGAAUGCAUCAUUGGAAGGCAGCAAACGUGUUAUGCAUUACUUGAAGAGAACAAAGGAGUACAUGCUCACUUAUCGGAGGUCUGAGAAUUUAGAGAUCAUUGGGUACUUUAACUCUGAUUUUGCUGGAUGUCUAGAUAGUAGACACUCCACCCCUAGAUAUAUGUUUAUAUUGGUUGGAGGUGCUAUCUCUUGGAAGUCUGCGAAACAGGCACUUAUAGAUCCUUCAACCAUGGUUGCGGAGUUCAUGGCUUGUUUUGAAACAUCAUAUCAUGGCAUAUGGUUGUGAAAUUUUGUCAUUGGUUUACGUGUGGUUGAUGGUAAUGAAAGACCAUUGAAGAUUUAUUGUGACAACAAGUCCGUAGUUCUUUACUCCACCAACAAUAGGAGUUCUACAAAGUCAAAAUUCAUUGACAUAAAGUUUCUGGUUGUUAAAGAAAGUGUUCAAAAUGGACAAAUUUCCAUAGAACAUAUAGGGACAAAUUUUUAUGCUAACUGAUCCACUGACUACGGGUUUGUUACCUAAAGUCUUUCAUGAGCAUGUUGCUCAUAUGGAUGUUGUUCCUUAGGGUAUCUUAGUUCAAUGAGAGUCUAUAUGUUUUAUGAUUUACUUUGGAUGUUAUAUACAUUUUUUAUGCAUAAUAAAGUUGAUGGUUUAUUGUUCCAUUUUGAAAUUGUGCAUUGUAACUAUUGUGUUGCAAUUAAAGACUUUGGAUUGAUCUCACUAAAGAAUAAAGAAAGACCAAUUGGAAAUAGACAUGUUUGAGAUCACAUUGCAUGAAAUUUCCAUGUCACUCAUCCAUGUUUGAUCUAUGUCAUUGAGUAUAUUGAUAUGGUGAUCAUCGUGGUCAAGUCAUGCUUGCAUGUGAUGAAAGUUAGGUGAUUUCAUAGUUGAUAUAUGAAUGAACCAGAUUGUAUUAAGGAGAAGUCUAAAUGUAAAUAGCAUACGGAUGCACGUCUAAAGAACCUGUGAUAUAAUUAUAUCAGGAAGAUAUGAAGCCUAAGUGGGAGAUUGUUAGAAAUUUAUAAUUUCUAAUUAAGGCGAGCAUCAUAUAUUUGAUACAAUGAUAUCGGCUAUUUAUUUCAGGGGUUACAUUAUAAGUGAUCUAAUUACUAGCACCUCAUAGAUUUCUAAAAAAGCUGAUAACGGAUAUGAGCUUAAUGAGUGGAUACCCAUCAGGUUAACCUAUAGGGGAUACUAAGAACCCUAUAGGUUAACGCAUAAGGAAGGUUAUGGCCCCCAAUACACCAAAUCACAAAUAGUUUUUACAUCUCCCCAUCAGAGAGAAAACGAAGGUUCCAAAAGGAAUUAAUGAUUUGGUUGAGAAAGACUAUCGUACCAAAACUCUCUCAAAAGGUAUAUCAAAGGAGUAGAUUAGAGAACAUGGAGUCAGGGAUUCAGGUAUGACUUAAUAUCCUUGUUUUAUAUUAUGUGUGAGAAUCAUGAUAUUCAAGAUCCUAAGAUUGAUAUUUCACCAAUCAUCAGGAAAUAUCUAACAUUCAACACUACCCAUAUCUAACUUCUAAUAUCAACCUAGAUCCAACUUCAAAAAUUAGCUUGGACAUGACUUCCAUAUCGUUUGGAGUUAGGUGUUAACACGAGGUCAUGUUUAAGGUUAGUGUUAGUCUUUGUGUUAGGCAUUAGAAUCAAACUAGAGGUUCAAGUUGAGGUCAACUUCGAACUCAAGUGUCAAAGAAAAAAUGGUAAAAUAAAAUUAUCAUUUACAAUUAAAUUGAUUGGUGGAAAAUCCAUCUAUAAUGUUUUUAGUGGGUGAGUUUGAUUGAUUAUAUAAAAUAGAUCAGGAUAGGUUAUGUACAUUUAACAAUUAAUAAAUGAGUCAUGAAUGAAUUGAUGGUUUGCUUUAACCAAUCCACUUAGAUUAGUUUCAACUAGAACCCGUAUUAGUUAUCUCAAAACUUUGUCUUUAUUUUUGCCUCAUCCAUUUAGAUAUUGUGAUGUUUACCUCUUGGGUAAAAGGCUCUUGAAACGAUCUAUCUUGGUUGAUGUAUGGCCUAGGCUCACGGUUGAGUUAAGCCUUUGAGAUAUGCAGCGGAAAUAACUUGUGUUUUGGAUAAAAGAAGAUGGAAAAGAGAUGAGGUGAGGCGCCACAAACAAUUCAAUUGUUUGAUAAGCCAAGUGAUGCUCGCCACAAGAACUUGGUUCUUGAUAAGAACUUUUAAUCUUGGUUCAGCCAAGAAGGUUUGGAGAAUACUCUCACAAGGAUAUAAUCCUCUUUGAUUCACAAAGGAAUACAAUUUAGUUUGACUCAAAGUUGUUUAUUUCUCAACAUAGAACAUUACAUAUAUAGGCAAGCCAUCAAGGCUCCCUCGGUUGGAAACUAAGAGUGCAUGUCUUGCACGUUUACAUUGGAUACUCUAUAAGCAAUGAAUCUACUCCUAAUCUAGACUAAAUUCGAGUAGUAAGAGAAUUGGCACAUGUGCCUUAUUACAACUGAAAACAAACUUAAUGACUAGGCCAAUUGAACUUCAAUGCCACGGUUGGUUGAGCAUGGGAUUUCCCUCAACCUUAAUUGCACGGCUCCCUCAUUAAGUGAAAUGGUUAAGAGACUUGAAGAAUCCUUAAUGCUCACGAGCAAGCCUGGAUGAGCUUCAUAGGAUUCUUCUAAUUUUGGCACAUGGAAAAUGUUGGAUUUAUGCCUUGUUAAUGCUCCUCGGUUCCACUUGAAUGUUGGCAUAGGAUUCCUUUGGAAAGGAAUGAAUUUCCCACGGCUAAGUGUGGCUGAAGAGCUCAAUAAAUAUCAUAGGAUUCCGUUGGGAUGAGUUGGUAGGCUACCAACGGCUAAGUCAUGUGCAUAAAGCACCUUUAAUGCAUCAAUAAAGUCCCAAACGGCCAUAUGAAAUUUCUACACGAGCAACUUUGCUCCAACGACCUUAGAAGUGACUUAGGAUGCCUCAUAAUGAAUUAUGCUCAGGUGGUUUUGUUCCAACGGUCCAUACAUAGCCUUAAAGCUCCAUAAAUGCUCCUUUAAGCCUCUCCACGGUCAUCUUGAAGAUUCCCUCGAGCAAAUGUCUUCCAACGGGCAUAUUAGACUCUAAUUACCUGCCAAAUAAUAUUAGACAAUGUUAGAAUAAGUUUGGUUCACGAAAAUAUUAAGUUGGUCCAAGCAUUAAAGUGUCGGUUACACUUUUAGGCUUGUCUUAACUACUCGCGAGUCAAAUUUUAUUCUGGUUAAUUUUUAUGUGCAGAUUUAUUACAAACAUGCUUAAAUUAAUUAAACUAAGUGUUUGACAAAGGUUAGCCCACACAUUUAUUAUAGAAAUUAAAAUGACUCAACACUAAUUGAAUUGACUAGGCCUGACUCGGUCAGGCCACGCCCAGCGCCUGAUGCAGCAUGCUAGGCGCACGCGCCUCGGUCAGAAUUCCUGGCCAGGCCAGUCUGGCCCAGCACCUAGCGCAUCACUGUGCGCACCAAGUUCCCCAACCCGGUCAGGGUUGUCUCGGUCAGGAAUGGAGCCUAAUGCGUCUGGUUCCGUGCCAGAGCCAUUUUUGGCGCCUUGCCCAGACCCGUGGCCUGAGUCAUGCGCAUGGCCUGGUCCAUCCUUGGCUCGGUCAGAGCCAUGGACCAAGAUGCUAGUGAGCAUCUUUACACCCCCUUGGGCUAUUUUUGGUUCACCAUCAUGAAUCAACAUUAAGAGAUGUCCAAGGGCAUUUUGAACCCUUUUUGCCCGAGCCCUAGUCAUAGGGCCACUCAUGCCUUCAAGACCACCAAGAUCAAGAUUAGGCUCUUUGAGGAUCAUAUCAUAUUGACACAUGUAAAAUGUUAAAUAAGUUUUUUUGUGACCUAUAUUAUUAUAGUCUCUUCAUUACUGUUAAGUUCUUUCACCUUUUCCUUAAUUACAACUAACAUUCUUCUUUUCACAAACACUCUUCAUCACACUCCACACCUUCACUUUUUAAAAUUUUCUAGAGUAGUUCCUCAUGAAGUAGCAAUAGAUUAGUAAAAUAUGAUAUGUCAAGGACUAAAAUGUCACCAACUUUAAUUGCUAUUAAACACUCCAAGUUUAUUUUGAAACCUCGUUACCAAUGAAAUGAUUAUGUUUCAAGUUUAGAACUCGGAGAUGGGUGAGAGAGGUUCAGGAGAGGAGGUCCGUAGGGAUGGCAAUGAAAACCGAACUCAUGGGUACCCGUCCGAACCCAACCCGAAUUUAAUGGGGUAAACCUGUUAUGAUUGGGUUCGAGUUUUACCCGAUGUUAAUUUUCGGGUUUGGGUUCAGGUUAGGUAUGUGUGAUACCCUACCCCGAACCCACCCCGAACCCGCCCCGAACCCGCCAUUGAUUAAAUCAAGCUUCUCUAACCUUGUGUACACACAAAUGUUGUUGUUCUGAUUAUAGAUCUGAGAGAGAGAAUAGAGUUAAAGAUUUGAGAGAGGGAAUAGAGUGAGGAAGAGGAAGAGAGGGAAGAAGCCAAAAGUGAAGGUGAAUGUGGAUGAGUGUUAGAGAUUGUAAAUAUGACAUGGUUUUCUAUGUGAAUAAUAUUUACACAAUAAUUUUACAAGUUCAGCAAAGGUUUAAUAGAGAACAAGACUAGUUUCAAUAAAGUAGUAAUAGACCAAUAUUGGAUUUUUAAAAAUGAGACAUGCAGAAAGGUAUACUCAAAGUUUGAAAUUGGUUACCUGUAGAUUUCAAGUUGCGGCUACAGUUUGCAGAUAUUUUUUUUUUCGGAUUACUCGUCGGGUUCAGAGUUGGGUAAGCACAAACCUGACCCCUAUCCGCCGUGUUGCCAUUCCUAGAGGAGGGAACCUCAGAGAUAGAUAUUUUCGAGAACAAGUCUUGAGACACAGUUGUUGAUGCAAGAAACGCUGUCCCAAAGGGUAUCGCCACCAUUGUUCCUCAACAAAAGACAUAGAGAGAAAGAGGAAGGACGGUAAAAAAUGAAAGUUUAGAGUAUGAUGAAGAGAGCUUGUGAAAAGAAUAGUGUUAGUUUAUAAUUAAUGAGAAAGUGGGAAAACUUUAAUGAAAUGGGUAUAAUAAUAUAGAAUAAAAUAUUUAAUCAUGCCAGAAGAUAAUUUAUCUCAUUAAAUCAAGUCAUUGUUUGACAUGUAUCUUAUUUUCAUUCCAUCUAGAAGUUUUCAUUUUAAUAUAUAAUAAAAAAAAAGACAAGGGUAAUACAAUGACUGAAUUUAAAGAGAUAAGUUAUCUCUUAAUAUGAGGAAAGAUUUUAUUCUCGUAAUAAUAUGAGUGAGAGAAAAGUCAUUUUUAUCAUUUUCCACGCAUUAACAUCUGAAUGGACGAGACAAGAACAUAGACAGGGUUAUGGGGCAACUUACCUCGUUCUUUUUAAAUAGAGUAAUUACUCAUUUUGGUCUCUCAUCUUUUUCGUGGGUACCAAUUUAGUCUCUAACAAAUUUUAAGUGACAUUUUCCUCCCCAAUAAAUUCAACAUCGAGUCAUGUUAGUUUUUCCGUCAUCUCGGCUCUGUUAACUGUAACAGAUUUGUUCGCAUGACAUGUUAAUUGGUGAAGUGGCCUCUACUAGAUGAUCCUACAUGUACAAGUUGUCAUGUCAGCAAUCGAUUUUUUUUUUAAUUUUUUCCCUAAAAAAUUGACAUUGUUUUUUUAAAAUAUUAUUUUUAAAUAAAAUAAUUUAGAAUAAAAAAUUUAAAAUUCUUAUUAUACAAAAAAUGACAUUUGGCAUAGAAAAUUUUCGAAAAGAAAUUAAGAAGCAAAACGAUGUCGUUUUGCUUCAUCUUCUUCCUUCAAACUUCUUCACUCGUACACCUCCUUUCCUUCAAAUUUCUUCACCCGUACACCUCCUUUCCUUCAAACUUCUUCAACCUUCACACUCAGAAACCCAAAUCCAUCCAUGUCCGAGGCUAAAUAGAAGCAAAUCAAAGCUUCAAUCAAUUCCUCUGGAAUGUAUUUUGUUGGUUUGUGGUUAUCCUUUUAAAGAGAAGCAAAAUUGUGAUUUUGAGGUAUGUGGUCCUUUGUGUUUUUCCUUUUCCUACAUGUGGUCUCAAUUGUGUUUUUUAAUCCAUAUUAUAGUCUAUUUGUAGUUUAAUAUUUGUACAUUAGGUUGUGUUGGAGUUCAUUUUUUCAUUCUUUUAUUCUGCUUGUGUGACAUUGUGUUUAUCAAAAAAAUUGUCUUUUUGUGUUAAUUGUUUUUUCCAAGUAUUUAAUAGGAUAACAUUGAUCUAAAUGUCUGAAUAUAUAGUUGAUUUAUCACCACGGGGGUCGGUUUGUGAUAGACAAUGAUGGCAACUUCCAGUACGUGCAUCAAAAAAUUGAGAGAAUGCCCCUUUGGAUAUGGAUAUGGUAAACUUAAUGGAUUUGAAGACAAUAUUUGUUCAGUAUGAAAGUUGUCAUCUAGAAAUUGAUGGCAACUUCCAGUACGUGCAUUAAAAAAUUGAGAGAAUGUCCCCUUUGGACAUGAAUUUGGUAAACUUAAUAGAUUUGAAGACAAUAUUUGUUCAGUGUGGUUAUCACGAUAUCCAUGCAAUGUAUUGGCAAAACCCUGAAAAUCCAUUUUUGGAUAGUGGAUUAAUAGCAUUUAAGAAGGAUAAAGAUAUCAAUGAAAUGGUGACUGCAGUAUUGAAGGCCAACAAUGUGAAUCGCAUGGGUGAUUAUGAGAUGCAUAACUACUUUGAACAUCAUGUGUUAAAUGGUGAAGACACGUAAUUUGUGUCUCAUGAAUCAUGUGAUCAAGAAUCAAUUGAGAACCCUAUUCCUCUACUUGAAGAUGGUAAUAAUUCGGAAAUAUAUUCAUUGCAUGAAGGAAGUUAUGAAUAUGCACUAUAACCUUCUGAACCUACUGCCAAUGCAACUCAACCUUUUGAAUCUGUAACUCAAUUUGAUGAACCUGCUACUAAUAAUGUACCUAAUUUUGCACCUAUAAAUGAAGAUGAAUAUCUUGUUCAGGAAGAUAUCAGCAACAACAGAAAAAAAAGGAAGUCAGGCCUAAAGAAAAGGGAGUCAACACCGAAGAAAUAGAAGUUAGCAUCAAAGAAAAGGAAGUCACCACCAAAGAAAAGGACGUCAGCACCAAAGAAAAGAAAGUCAAAACUGAAGAAAAUGAUGUCAUGCCUGAAGAAUGCAGGGAAUCUUACCCGUAAACCUGAAGUUGUUGAUAAGGUGAAUGAACCUAUACCUAAAGGUGUUGAAACUAAAAUUGAAAGUGAACUUGAACCUGAACCUGAAGGUGUUCAACAACCUGCAGCUUUUUUUGAGGAUAAGAGAUAUUCAUCUAAUAGUGAAUAUAUGCAUACCAAUGUUUGCACUAAUGAUGAAAGAGAUGCAGGGAAUGCAUUGACUAAUACUUUGUUUGUGAGUAGGGUUUUGGAGGGGAAAGGAAUGGAUGACUUUGGAAAACUUUUCUCUUGUUUGGGAGUUGGAUGAAGGAGAGGGGGAAGUUUUGGAGUGUUUCUCAAACCCUCCAAAACCUUUCAUGUGUCUAUUUUUAAAGUUCCUCCAAUUUGUGGUUUUUUGGGAGAUAAAAUAUCAAAAUAGCUAAAUAUUUUUAUUAAUAUUAUAUAAUUAUACAUUAUUGUCGAUUUCUCAUUACAUUUUAAAAGAAAAAUAAAAAAAUUAUUCUUAUAUUAUCAUUAGUUUAUUCUCCCUCGUCUAAAUUUCACACUCCCAAACAAGGGAGAGGAUUUCCUUCCUUUUCCCUUCCCUUCCUCUCCCUUCCUAACCCUUUGACCCCCCUCCUUCCAUUUCUCUCAUAACUCUCAAACAAAACCUAAGUACCCCAUUUUCAAUGAAAAUAGUUCAUUUGGACAUGUACAUUUGGAGAUUAGAAUGGAGUUUGCAAAUCUCAAGGUUUUAAAAGAUGAUGUCAAAGGCUACAACAUCUUCUUAGGCAGACAAAUAAAAUGGAAGAAGAAUGAUCUUCCUAGGAAGACUAUUGAUGUUUUUAACUUGAUAUUUUGUUCAUUUUAUGACAAAUCAGAGCCAUAGUGCAGUAACAAACAUAAUAGAUAACAGACUAACAAAUAACAAACUUGAUUGUUUCUUUAAUAGUACAAAACUUACAUAACUUGCAUAACUUACAUAAAUCAGAACCAUAACUUCAUUUCGUUGAUAAUACAAAACUUACAUAACAGAUAACAGACUAACAACACAGCUGCUACAACUACUUGAUCAUUUGAAAAUACAACUACUUCAUCAUAACCUCAAUUACUUGAAAAUACAAACAAAAAACCGGUAACAACAUAUAAUAGAAUAAACACAGCUGCUACAACUACAAUUUUUCUAGACCAUAUCACAUAUUCCUUCAUGAUCAUCUGAAUUUCUUUUAGAUUAGCUUGUAAAUCAUUCAUGCCUAUAGCAUGAUCAAUCUCAUUUUAUUCAUUCAUAGCUUGAUUUCUUUUUCAAUCUUCAACCCACAUAAAAAACUUCACACAAUAUUGAUUUUCUUCCUAUAAAAAAAUAAAAAAUGUUUCAAAAUUGUAAAAAAAAUCAUAAUUUCACAUAAACUAGAAAAUAACAAAAUAACAAUGCCAAUCUUAAAAUAUCAACAUUCAUAUAACUAUUUCUUUGAGUUCUUCAUAGUCUUUGAUGUGUAUACAACAACAACCAUUCUACAAUGACACAAUGAAGGAGGAAAUCUUCUAUCUAUAGAGUUGACAUCACUAUAACUUUGAUGAGAUGUGCAAUAGGAGUUGACAUCACUAUAGUUUUUCAUGUCAUAUACAAGAGAAUGUAAAAUUAUAUUGUUAGUGUUUAUGGUGUAAGAAUUUUGGGCAAUUUCACAUCUUCUCGACCAACGAUGUCGUUUUGCUUACUGUAUUAAAAAAAUUCAUAUGCAAAACGAUGUUGUUUUGUAUAAUAAAAAUUUAAAAAGAUUUAUUAAUUUUUUUUAAAUGACAACGUUUUGUGAAGGAAAAAAAAUUAAAAAAAAAUCGAUUGAUGACAUGACAACUUGUACACAUAGGAUCAUUCAGUAGAAGCCACGUCAUCAAUUAACUUGUCAUAUGAGCAAAUCUGUUACAGUUAAUGGAGUCGAAAUGACAAAAAGACUAAUAAGUCUCAAUGUUGAAUUUGUCGGGGAAGAAAAUAUCACCUAAAAUUUGUUAAGAACUAAAUUGGUACCCACGAAAAAGAUGAGGGACCAAAAUGGGUAACUAAUCGUUUAAAUAAGGAUGGAGGAGGAUAACACUAUGUUCAGACACUUCACACAUCAUUUAUGUAUAUUAUAUGUAUUUAAUUUUUUUAUUCUUGUAUAGAUUAUACAUUGAUUUUUAUGUGAUAGUUGAAUAUUACUUUUUUGGUACCACCAAUGAUUUUCCCUCACCUUUUUGGUAAGGAACUAAUCCCUUUCGGGAUACCAACGGGCGUUGGUUUAAGUGGUACAUGCUUGAGUUCCCUUAAGCAAGAAUCCGGGUUCGAGUCUUGUGGAUGGAAAAAAUGUCCGUUGGGAGAGUUAGCCCCACAUACAUGUGGAUGUUCCCGGCUCGGACAGGAUUGCCUCCAGUGCGAGGAUACCUGUGGGAAACCAAAAAAAAAAAAUAUCCCUUUCGGGAUUUGUGGCUACCACUCCUAAUAAGUAUUGUUUACAGGAAUCGAACCCUCAACCUUAGAUCCGAUUAUAUAGUAAUUACAAUUAUAAUAAAACAUUUAAAGUCAAGUUUUUACAUAUAAUUUCAGAAAAUGAAUAUAAAUCUUUAUUUUCCCAUUAAAUAAAGUAUUGUUAUUCUUUCAUUGUUUCAAUGAAAAUCUUCUUACUAGCUUCGUAUUUGAAAACCAUGAUAACUUACGUAUAAGUUAUAUAUCCCAUAAAUAUAUGAGUUAUGAAAUAAUAUCUAAAUGUUUUUUGUAUGUAGUAAACUAUUAUUGUUUUAAACAGGAAAUAUAACAAUUGAUGAUUAAAUGUAUGUAGAAGUAAGUCAAAAUGAUAAGUUUUGUGAAAAUCUAACACCUCUAUGAUGUUUUCUGAUUUGAUACCUAGUUCUAAAGUGGCUCAUUAAUAAUUGAAAUUUUUAAUUUGUCUAUAUGUAAACUAAACAAUUUUAAGAGAAAUAGAAGUAUUGUACACGUGAGGUUGCAACUUAUCUUACGUUUGCAAUACGCAAAAGCAACCUCCAUAAAUAUUGGUCCCGCUCUCAAUACGCUAAACUUUAAUACAAUAAUUAUAUACUAAUUUCUGUGGUGCUGGCGCAUUCUGUUUCUUGUGACUUUAGCUUAGCUAUCAAGAAAAGAUGAGUUCACAAAAAAUGUGACGUAUUUGGGGUGUGUUGGGCAUCCAUAACUAUAAUUAUAUUACUUGAACAACUUGACUAAACAAUCGCUAAUUAAAGUAUUUUCUGACAAAUAAAAAUAAAUGACACAUUGAUUGAUAUUAUAAGUUUAUAACAUAUAUGCAUUAUUCCCACAAAAAAAAGGGUAUCCACAUCUCUCUGUGACAUUUUCAUUCACUUAUCUUAUAAUUUUUUGACUCAGUUAAUAAAAUACUUAAGUUAUUCAAUAAAUAAAAAUUAAAAGGAAUAUAUAGUUUUUAUAAAAUGGAGAUUGUAAUUUAAAAAAAAAAGAGUUUGCAUUAUUUUAAAUCCGCUUUUCAGAAAACUACUUCAACUUGAAGUAGCGUUUAGAAAUUGAAUCUGAAUUUCAAUAAUUUAUUUAUCAAUUUUACCUUCAAAAUUUUAAAAAGUUAUAUUAGUUUCACCCAAUUAAAAACAUUAUUAUCUUAUUAUAUAAAAAUCAUCUUCCCAUUACAUUUUUUGUGAUGUAUAAAUUAUUGUUAAAAUUGAUUAUAAGAUGAGUGUAUAUGUUUUUUUCUUCAUAUUAUAUCAUUUUAUUAUGUAUAAUAUCAAGAAGAGUAUAUAAACAUAAUUAACUGAAUUGUUUUUCAGAAGAAAAAACAGAGUAUUGCAUGUUUAAUUAUAAAUAAAAUAUUAAAAGAAAUUACUCUAGAUUUUGAUUUUAAAUGAUCAAAUUAACUACUCCAAUUAUUAAUUAUUCAAUCAAUUACUUAAUUAAUAUUAUAUGUAUUUUUUAAUUAUUUUUCAAACUCCAUUACAAAGUUAAUUAUACCAAACAACUAUAGUUUAAUAAGCUAUCUAACUUUACAAGACAUACCAUACAUUUGCCAAGAACUUAAAACCAAGAGUCGCUCAUUUGGUAAACCUUACACUUCAAAACUUAAGAACGUUGCCAAAUAGGAACGCCUCUUAUAAUUGUGAACAGUAUGACAAACGUUCUUAACAUAAAAUAAAAGUUAAAAACGCCCACUGUCAUGCUCGAAGUCACAUACUAUACUUUCAAUACACAAAAGAGUAUGACAUGUGACUCAAUAAGAAAAUGUAACAAGAGAAAUGUGUUUAAGAUAAUGUACCAAACUGUAUUAUACCACUCAUGGAAAAGACACCUACUCUUUAAUAAUUCCAUCUCUUAUGUUACAUUUUGUUAAAAAGAAAAUUCUACUGAUAAAUGCAAGAUUCAAAUACAAAACUUGAAACUCUUUGGUGGGAUGUAAUUAAUUCAAAUAAUUCAGCAUAUAAUUGAAUCAAGUUAGCAAGUUCAUAAUAGUAACACAAAGGACUUUUUCUGUACAAAUAUAUCUAUAUACACAUUACUGUCACUAAAUGAACAUUGGUAUAGAUGUGAAAACCAAAGCAUGGGUUAGCCUCUUGAGCCAACCAUGGUGCUUGCAGAAGGUCCCGUGGUCGGUACGGUUAGCCCUCGAUCAUACAUUCGCUGGAUUUUUUCUCUGUAUUCUGUUAAGGACUUGUCAGGUAUGGCUGGUGUAAGCUCCACCACAUCUCCCAUCUUCAACCUGCAUUUGGGAUCACUUACAGGAACAUGAUUCAACCUUGGCCUCAACUCUUCCUUCACUGGGAACCUAUACGUUCUCAACCUCGAGCUUGCUCGCCCGGCUCUUUCCAACAAAUCCAUCACUGUUGCGUUUGCACGAAAUUCUUGGACAGACAUCUGCAUAUUGAUACACAAACACAAUUAAUAUAGGCCUUCAAAUGUGGUAAGAUGCAAGUGAUAAAAGUGACAAGUUUCUAAAGUUUAGUUGCAGGUAAUGACAAUGCAUGCUUCAUUUUCCACCAGUUCGAAACAAUCAAUAUUAGACCACCUUUAAGUCACAAUCAAGGAAAGCAUCAAUGCUGAAGUCAUAUUACAAUACUGCACACUUUGAUUUGAAGCAUAGUUUGUAUGUUUUAAUCAAUCAUUAUAAUCACAAAGCAUUAGUUCAAGAAAAACCGAAUACGACUUAUUAAACACAGCAUUAUGAAGUCAGUUGAUGACUUUACCCUAAUGAAAUUCAGUUCUUACUGAGUUGCUAUGACUCAAACCAUGGAUUGAAGACAGAGAAAACAUAAAAGUGAAAAUACUACAUAAAUUUCUAGCACUAACCUUUUCACUCUCGAUCAUAAUUACAAACACGGGCCCAUCCUGACGACAAUCAGGCUUAUAAGAAUACGGGCAAUCAUCUGCAUGGGAAGGGAACUUGCACGGUGGCUUGAUUGAAUAAGCACACCCAACAGAUGAACGAUCUUUACUCAUUGCCUCGCACUGCCAGGUGACGACCCAUCGAGCCCACUCAACCAUUUGAAGCACAAAUGAAGAAUGCUGACAGUCAUCUUCCUUGUAUCUCCAAUGAGCAGCAAAUCCAAAUUCUGCUUGUAAAUGCAUAUCUUUUGUCCGAAUUUGCACUUCGAGGGGCACUUUGCCUUCACCAAUCACCACGGUAUGCAGAGAUUGAUACCUGAGAAUUACAAAAUCAAAAUCAGAACAUAUAGAGAUGGCCAUUUGAAAGUGUAAACCACCACUCCUGAGCUACAACGUACCCAUUGAACUUGGGGCGGCAUAUGUAAUCUUUCAUCUUUCCAGGUACUUCACACCAUAAUUGGUGAACAACUGUCAAGGCUUUAUAACAGUCUUCCUCUUUGUCAACAAUCAAGCGCAACCCAUAAAUGUCAUGGAUGUCAUCUAUGGAUAGCUUCUUCCUACAAACAUAAAGACAAGUAAAAACACGUGAGAAAUUGAAGUGUAAAAACAAUACCGUCCAACAAGUCGAGUAAAAAUGACGACAUACUAUUUUCAUUAGUAGUUUUAGUGUUUUACACCAGUAUAUUUCCUUAGUAGUCUCAUACUACAAUAGAUACUGCAAUGAAAGUUGUCUCAUCUCUAACAACUUAUGUUUAAGAGAGUUUAUGCAGUAAUAGCAACUGUCUUUAAUCUAAAACCCAACCCUGCAAGUUAUACUCUUUGAACAGUCUGUCCUCCCCUACCGACAAAAUAAAUUCCAAUUAUUAUAUUUGCACACUUUCAAAUUCCAAAUGGCAGAUAACAAACAGAAGUGAAAAAACCCAACAGCUAAAUGAAAAUAAGGGAAAGUAACGUACUUCAAUAUUUUGCAAUAAACGCUAUACAAGCUCUUAUGCCGCCCAGAGAGGACGUGAUAAGAUAUGCCUUCAUCUUUAAGUGCUUGCUCUAAUCUCUCUAUUGCAGAAGUAAUCAUUGCAUCAUCAUAUGAGUCCACAAGCUUCGAUGAAAGCUCCUCAUGCUGCUCUGGGUUGAGAUGCUUAAAACACAAAUUUUCUAAUUGUUCCUUCCAAUUAGAUAUUCCUAAGCGAUUGGCCAAAGGAGCAAAAAUUUCCAAAGUCUCCUUUGCAAACCUCUGCUGCUUGGCCACCGGCAAUGCAUCUAGUGUCAUCAUAUUAUGCAGUCGAUCUGCUAAUUUAAUGAGGACAGCUCUUGCAUCUGCCAUGGCAAGGAACAUGGUAUGCAGGCGGUCUGCCUCAACCGACUUGCAUGCUGUAUUAUUUUCUCGAGCAAGCUUACUUAAGUGACUCAGUUUGGAAACCUAAAUUGCCAUAAAGAGUAGUUAGAAUCUUGUAAAACAAUAUUCAACACUUAACCGAAGCAGAACAGAUAAUAAAGCACUGAAGUUAUCAGGGAAUGCUAAGUGAAUAUUACUGCACAAACAUAUUGGAGUUCAAUUUCCAUUGCCUCCAUAUAUUAAUAACUAAAAGUACCAAGCUUGUAGACCCUCGGUAAAAAAAACUGUUCUGAUUCAGAAAUGAGACAGCCAAAACAAGACAACUUACUCCAGAAAACACUCAAUGUAAGGAAAGAGACAUGAAGAGAAAACAGACAUAAGAAAAUUCAACAUUUAGUUUGACUUCAGUAAUUAAAUUAAGAAACAGGAGAUCCACAAAGUAAGUCCUACUAAAUCUUUUUCUUGCAUUUUAAAAUUUUACAAGGCAAUCACAUAACUACGAACCAAUUUUAUGGCAAAAUAAAAAUAAAAAUUAACUAUUCCUACUAAUUAUAGAUAUAUAUAGGGUGAGUGCAAAUGUGCUGCAACUUACAAAAAACCCUCCUAGGAGGUGCAACAUCAAAUCCUAUCCUUCAACUGAACCACAACAGAUCACUCAUGUCUCAAGACCUCCAUAAUGGACCGAACCCAAUUCAUCCUCCACCCAAACUACUUUGGACGACUAAUCUCAUCCAAAACAACUUAAAAUUCAACAAAGAAAACAAUUACAAAAACAAGAGGCAGGCCUAUAUUAAUUCAAAAGCCAAUAUUCAUUGUUCCAGCAGCCAAAUUACAGAGCCAUUGCAACUAACAGUAGAUCUGACGAGUAAAAUUUUGUAAAAGCUUUAAUAGUGGGGACUGAAUUAAAUGCAAAUUGUGAACAUACAGAUCAAAAACUCAAAUUCAUUGUCUCAAGUUGCAUGCUUUAUUAUUAAUUAACAGAUAUGUGCAGCAACUAAUAAUUUAAGAGACAUGUUCCUUACCCCUUCAACUAAAUCAGCAACCCCAGCGCCAAAGGUCUCAAAUAUGUAAUCAUAAGUCAGAAAAGAAUCAUCAAGCGUAUCAUGCAAAAGUCCUGCUGCUACUACUGUGGAAUUGGCACCAAUCAAAGCAAGUAGCACAGCAGUUUCCAAACAAUGCUGCAAAUACGGAUCCCCACUUGCACGCAUCUACACAAAAACGAUCCAUCAAAAGUCAAAACCUUUGAGCUCAACAAAACCACAUCGGAUAUUCAAAUUCCACACACAAGUUCAUGUUAUAUUUUUUACACAUAAAAAACAACAAUGAAACCCACUAAACCUUAAAAGAGUUGCAAAACAAUGACUUUCUAGGUGGUUUCCAUCCUGGUACUAUUGUCAUUCAUUCAAACAUGCUUAAAUGCAGAGUUUUAACGAGAUCCGGUGUAUUGUAUUGGUAAAUGAGAAGCUGCUAUGUUUCACACACAAACACAAAAGUUGUAAAUUUUUUACCUGCCCUCUGUGAGCUUUCUCAGCUUCACAAAAAGCCUUGAUUACAAACUCUUCACAGAAGAUCUUAUGCCUCAAUUGGGCAUCAAGAAGUAACUUCUUAGCAUAUGAUUCAAAACCACCAUCCACAAAAGUAUCCUCCAAUUUGAAGGUCAACUCAUCUAAACCACCAUCAACCUUGAAACUUGGAGAAUCAUAAUCCAAACAUGAACCUAAAGCAUUCCUCACAAACCCAUCAAACAAACUCCUUGAAGAACCAAGGGUGCUGCUGCUGCUAUAUGAAACAGGUCCAUGGAAAACAGAAACAGGGCUAUGCUGAUGAUGAUGAUGAUGAUGAUGAUCUCUUUUCCAUGAUGAAGAUCCAAUGAAUUUGCUGCUAAAUUCCUUCAAUUCAGAUCCCAAUUCAUCACCCACCGGACCCGAAAAGCUCGACGACAACGGCGCGUGCUUUGUAACCGCCGAUGAGGAAAACAGACAAGACAACCCACCCAUUACCACAGGCUUAUGCGAUGUCGAAGCCGCCGUUUGCGACGGCGGCGAGGAAGAUCGAGAACCCAAUUCAAAAUCAUAGGAAGCAUGUGCGUUAAUCUGACAAGGGUGAGGUGUUGAACACACACUACUUGGUGAACUUGCAUAUAAAGCUAAUGUAGAAACCGCCAUCAUUGACAAUUAACCAAACCUUCUUCCUUUUUCUUUGAGAAUUAGGGUUUUGAAUCCCAGAAUUAAAAGAACCCAAAUAAUUAUAGUUACAAAUUUUUUUCCUUCCCAGAAAAAGAAAAACGCAACAAUAACGUAAAAAUCAGUUUUUUUUUUUUAAUUUUCAGAAGAAAUUGGUGCAACGCCUAAUGAUUGAAUGAGCUAGUAACUGUUUUGGUGGAUCCCAAUUUGAGAAAUUGACUAAAAGAGAUGAAAAGUAAAUUUCCGAUAACUGUACAGAAUUGAAAUGGGUUUGAACAAUUCAAAGAUUCAAUGUUUUGUUCUUUGUUUGAAUUGAAAUGGAGUAUGUACUAUAUAUACACACAAUUUUGUUGUAUUUGUUCUGUAAUGUUUAUAGAGGGAUGAUGAUGAAGGGGGUGAAAUAAAAUGACCCUUAAUAAACAUAAGAAUUUACAAAUAGACCCUAGAUUUUAGAAGGAAAAAUAAUCAUAUAAGCCAAUAGUUUAUUAAUAGAGUAUAAUAUAUGUAUAUUUUUAAGUGGAAAUAUUUAUAUAUAACUGAUAAUUAUUUAUUUGUAUUACUUUUUUUAAAUAAAUCAAUAAUAAUUAAAUAUAAAUGAUAAAUAUUCCUCAAAUAUAUCAUCAGUCUAUUUUUUUUUUUAUCUUCUAAUAUUAAUAUGGAGAAAGAAAAGGGUGAGGGUUGGGAGAUGGGGUGAUGAAAUGACGGUUUCAUCCUUUGGAUAUUCUAUGGAUACAGGUGCAAACCAGUUAAUUAUGUUCUCGAAUAGGAAUUUAACGUUGUUCGGAUAAGUUCAUUUAAUAAUGUUGUCGCAAAUAUGGGUUUGGUUCAUUCUGGUAAAAGCAUAACUGCAUAGAUAUUUUUAGUGGCGUUAUUGUAGCUCCAACUCCAAUGAAUGUAGAAGCUAUUCGAGGACUAAAAUUAAAGCAUAAUGAUCUAGUUCUUAAUCAUGUUAUUAAGACAUAGUUUAAUUUUAUUUAGUCCACUCGAGUAAUUUUUUAUUUGAAUUUUUCUAGCAUGAGGGAAAAUUUAUGUACUUGAAUCCGAGUUAUUACAUUUUUGUCAUGAACCUCUAUCAAAUAUAUUGGGGUAAUGGUGAGAUUAGUUUAGAACAAUUCUAUUUACAUCUGUUAGAUUCUUAUAUAUAGUCAUAUUUUAGUUACUUUGCAUCAUAACUAUUAAAAAUACAUCUUUUAUCUUACUAGCGCUCAUUCAUCCAUCUUCAAUCGUUUUUUUGGAGGAACACUUAUUGAGAGGGACAGUCACGCACUUCGAAUGAACACAUCUAGGUUUCAAAAAAUUGUAUAUAUUGAAAGGUAGGGCUGGCAAUGAACCGAACCAACUCGAUAUUCGUUCGAAAUUCGAUUCGUUAUUUAGCUCGAUAAACUUGGUUCAUGAACCAAAUGAGCCAAACUUGAGCUCGUUAAAUCAACGAGCCAAACUUGAGCUCGUUAAAUAAAUGAACCAAACUCGAGUUGGAUACAGUUCGACUCGUUAGGUUCAUGAGCUAGUUCGAUAUAUAUAAAAAAACUAAUUUUUAUAUUUAUUAUGACUCAUACAUUAUUUUUUAUAUUUAUUUUUAUUAUAUAUAAACAUGGUUAUAUUUAUAUGUAUAAAAAAAUUGUAGUAUUUUUAAAAAAAAAUUAAUUAACUAUUUAAGUUGUCCAAAUGAACCAAUUGAACUGAGCCGAACAGUUCACGAACUUAAACUGAACCGAACUCGAGCUAAAAAAAUAACUCAUAUCGAACUCGAGUCGAGUUUCAAGCUAAAUCAAUCCUUAUUGAGCUGAACCGAGCUGAAUUCUAGUUCGACUCGGUUCGACUCGUUUCCAGCUCUACUGAGAGAUUAUGGGAAUGUAUAAACCCGAGUGUGAAAAAAUAUUACAUAUUUAGAUAGGAUAUCUAAAUGUAAAAUGAAAAGUAUAUAUAAAAAUAAAAUAUAGAGUUAAUUUUACUAACACCCCCUGAGUUUUAGUGAAAUUACACAAAUCAUCCCUAAUUUUUUUACAUCUACACAAACCUCCUCUAGUUUUUAUAUUUUCAUUACACUGAUCACUUCUGCAUGAGAAAUAAAUGUAAUCUUUUAAACAAAAAAUGUGAUAAAUGCAACUAAAUUAAACAAAACAUGAUAUAUUGUAAAGAAAAAUCCAAAUAAUAUACAAAUCAAUGUAUCUUUAUUAUUUUUGGUUACAAAACGUAUCAAUAAUUCUAAAGAGAUAUUGUUUAAAUCGUUCUUAUACUAUAGUGUAACGAACCAAAAAUAAUAAUGAGGUAUCGACUAAUAUAUUAUUUGAACUUUUCUCCACAAUAUACCAUAUUUUGUUUAACUUAAUUGCAUUUAUCACAUUUUUUAUUUAAAAAAACACUUAUUUCUCAUGCAAGGGUGAUCAGUGUAAUGAAAGUAUGAAAAGUAGAGGCUUGUAUAGGUGUAGAAAAGUGAGGAGUGAUUUAUGUAAUUUCUCUAAAAUUCAUGGGGUAUUAAUAUAAUUUACUCUAAAAUAUAUAAGAAAGAGUUAGUUUGUUUGUGAAAUUAAAAUAGAGGGAGGGAAAGACAAUCUGGUUCUGUACUUGAAACCAUAAGAUUUUGUUUCUGAGCCCAAAGAAUUUGCUGGGGAUGGUAAAAAACCCUAAGGUGAGGACAAUAAUGUGAUUUUAGAAUUUGGUGGUUGAUGUUGGCAAUUAUAGAGUGUGACGUGAGUAUACCUGUUGUCUUAUAGUUUAUGUCAUUUCAUGUGUCAUGAACUUGUGAUUGAUCAAAAAAAUAUAUUUAAGUUAAAAUUUAAUUAUUAAACAUUUUUCUGACCAAUUACAAAUUCAUAGCACAUGAAGUAACACUCAUUAUAGAACAACAUUUCUAUAAUUAUACGUUUACUAUAAGAGAAAAUAAAGUAAAUACAAGCAUGUGAAUUAUCCACUUGGUUAGCUUAUGAAAUGGGGGGAAAUUAAUUUCUUAUAAUAUAAAACCUUUAGUAAACAGGCCAACAAAUUUCUUAUUAAGGAGAAAUUUGUAAUAUUAUUAUAUUUAAUAAUAGGAGUGUUACAUCACAUCACAUUAUUUUUUAUAUACUUUCUUCUCUAAUACUUACCGGAAAAGAUUCUCAUCCCAUCUUUAUAUACAGCUGUAGUCACCAUGCAACACACAUGCCAUAAUCAUGUACUUAAAAGGAAUUUAAGAAUAGUAAUGUAGUUAAGAUAUCAAGAGAUGAGACUAGUGGUAUAUAGUAUAUAACAAAAUGACUCGGAUCCACAUGUACAGUAAAAAUUAUGUGGAUAGUGUAGUUUGAUUAUAUUAUCACAUAUCUAGUAUAAUUUUUUUCAAAAUUAUAAGAUUAGUGUAACUUUAAUGCAAAUCAUGUAUGAUAUCCACGAUUUUAAGAGAAGUCAUUGACCAGGAAUGCGAGUCCAAAGAGAAGUAGUGUUUCACAUGCACAAGUUCCACUUUGUGUUCCAUAAAUACUAUUUCCAUUGCAAAUUAAUAACAAAAAGUAUUUUUUUAGUCUAGUGGUUCUUGUUUUAUAUUGUUUUAUACAAUUAGGUAAUGAAUAUAAUGCAAUCUAAUCAUAGUGUAUUAGAGUGCUUAUACAAAUAAUAUAUAUAUAUAUAUAUGUCAAAGUUAUAAAAAACAAAAAAUAAACAAUGGGUGAGUAUUAAACCAUAUACCUCUAAAUUACCAUGUAAGUCAAGAACCACUAGACUAAAGAGUAUGUUUGUUAUUAAUUUAUAAUGGAAAUCGUAUUUAAGGAACACAACUUCUAAAAAAGUGGAAUUCAUGCAUGGGAAGCACAACUUUCCCCAUAACUCGCAUUCCUGAUCCACGACUUCCCUUAAAUCGUGGAUGUCAUACACGAUUUCCAUUAAAGUUACAAUAAUCAUGUAAUUUCUUCCAAAAAAAGUUACACUGAACAUAUAAUAUUAUAGUCAAACUACAUUAUCCAUAUAAAUUUUCCUCCAUUCAUACAUACCAUAUAAAAUCAUCCUUGUAAAAGACUCCAUGUGAAUCGACUAGUCCAAAAACACAACAUAACUCUACCAUGUAGCACACAUUUCUAAAAGAUAUAAUCUCCCCUUAUAAAAGCCUCCCUCCUCAACUUCUUCGUUGCUAUUAAAAUGAUUGAGUCUUACACCAUAACAUCCUUAAAAUUUUGUACUAAUUUUAAUGCAUUUUUUUAUCAUGGACGAGGAAGUAACGCAUAAAUGAUUAUUACAUAUAGUGUUUUUAUUAGAUAAAUAAUAACACACAAACGUAUGUAUUGACAUGAGGAUUGAUGAUACGAUAGUUUCCCACUUCCUUUUGGUUAAUUGGUUAAGUAGGUGCUAUUUGAUGUGAGCUUGAGGACCACUACUUUGUUCUUAAACCAAACUCAAACCAAUUGGAUUGAUUAUUUGUGUUUCCCCCCUAUCAGAUUGAAUUAAAUAAUUAUCUCAUUUAUUUUAUAUAUUGUUUACCAAAUAUAUUGUACUUCGUACAAUUAUCUUUUGAAUGUAGUUUUGAUUAUUGUAAUUAUGGUCGUUUUGAAAUAAAUAUUGAUAAUUGUAGUAUAUAUAUUUUUAAUUCAAAUGGCUCAAACGCAAUUUUAUGUAGUAGUAUAGUGUUGUAGUCUAAUACACCAUAUCAUUAUGAUUUUGUAUCAUAUCAUAGUUAUAUUACAUGAUGAUAUAGUUGUAGAAGUCACCACAACAUUAUACUACAACUACAUGACAAUUUGAACAAUGCAACUACCACUUAACAUGUUCAUCAUAUGUCUAAUAUCUAAAUGUAAUCACAUGCCCAUGUCCAAUUGUAAUCACAUGCAUGUAACACAUAUUGAAAUAAGUCAAAUUUAUAUGUUUUUACCAUAUUUAUAACUGUUGAAUUUAUUCAAGUGUGAAAUAUUAUAUUAAAUAUAUGGAAUAACUCAAAGAGAUUAUAGAUGGAAAAAGCUCAUAAAACCAUUAUCUUGCUUUUGGUUCAAACCAUAAUAUUAAUGUCUUACUUGUUCUUUAUUCUUCUCAUGCCCCCUUAACAGUAAGACUUAUGGGUGGUUUCAGGCUCCCUACUUGCUAUUAUCUAAUAGUAACUUUGAUCAAUAAGACGUUGAUUUAGCUGUGUAAGUAUUGCGAAAAUAUUGUGAAAGCGUAAAAUGAAAUUUGUGGAUAUUUCUCAUUGAUUUAUCAAGGCAUGAAAAACCUUAUUUAUAGUGUAAACUAACUAGCUAACAAACUAAUAAACACAUGUUGUAAAAGAAUUCAACAUGUGUUAAAUGCGUAAAAUGUGGUAGCUUUCUUCUCCAAUAGUCCCCUCAAGCUGAAGGGUAAAUGUCAAUUGACUACAUCUUGAUAAUUCGAUUUGAUAUCAUGACAAUGUAAUAGAUAGGAAUCUCAAUCCUAACAUGAUUGAAAUUUCUCAAUCAUUUGAUCUUGUUGUUGAUCUUGUUGAUCUUGUUGUUUUUUAUCUUGGUGUGAUCUUGUUGAUCUUGUCGUUGUUGUUGUUGAUCUUUUUGAUCUUGUUGUUGUUGUUGAUCUUGUGUUGUUGUUGAUCUUGUUGUUUGAUAUUGUUGUUAUUGUUAUUGUUGUUGAUCUUGUAGAUCUUGUUGAUGUUGUUGAUUUUGUUGUUCUUGUUGUUUGAUCUUGUUGAUCUUCUUCUUGUUGUUGUUAUUGGUUUUGAUCUUGUAGAUCUUAUUGUUGAUCUUGUUAAUCUUGUUGUUGUUGUUUGAUCUUGUUGAUCUUGUUGUUGUUGAAGCAUGGGCCAUUAUGUUGCCUCAUUGUAUAAUUGCAUUACUGGCUCAACAAUCUAUUUCCAUCGAAAUCAGGCACAGAAAACAAGCUUCUCAUCCUGACUUCUGAUUAGUAUUUGCAAAAUAACUAUGCUCAUUCCCAACAUUUCACAUGAGGAAAAUCAUUCAAUAAGAGUCUUUCUCUCCUUUUCACUUACAAUGAAAACACAAUUCUUGGUAUCCCUUCAGCUUUUUUAGAUGCGCAACUUCUUUCUACUUUCACAUGUUGAAUUAUUGACGAUGAUUCAUUGUUGAAUCAUAGAAGAGAAAAAUAAUAAUGCUCCUAGCACCCAAGAAAAAUAAGAAAGAAAUGCUUAAAGAAGAAAGAAUGGGAAAGAUAAUAAUUAUUGUAAAAUGCGCAGCAAUAACCAAAGUCAAAAAGCUUUGAUACCAUAUUGUGAAAAAUAUUGCCAAAGCGUAAAAUGAAAUUUGUGGAUAUUUCUCAUUGACUUAUAAGACAUGAAAAGUCUUAUUUAUAGUGUAAACUAACUAGCUAAUUAACUAGCUAACAAACUAAUAAACACGUGUUAUAAA